UAUAUAUAUAAAAGUUAAAUACAUUAAAAAUAUAUGAUUAAAUUAAAAAAAUAUUAAAGGCAUAAAACUUAGCAUUCAAUUUUUAUAGAUAAACUAAUAUAAUAAGCUAAUUAAUGUUAAUAACUAAAAUAGAAUCAUUAAAUUUGAUACAAUUUUUAAAGUAAGAAUGUACAUAACUUAUAUGAACUAUGGACCAUUUUGAGUGUUUUGAUUUUAUUACCUAAUUUUUAACUUUGUUUGAUUUGACUUCAAAAUUUGAAUGUGCCGUUUAUCUAUAUAGAUUUAAUAAGUAUAUUUUAUACAAUUGUUGCAACUAUAAAUUUAUCAAAAUAAGUAAUUAAUUUAAAAUUUGAAAUCAAAAUACCGUUGACUGAUUCAAAUUAAAUAAAUUGAAAGACUGAGUAGUAAAAUUUAAAAUUUUAAAAAGUUGGAUAACUGAAUCAAAAUAGUCCAUAGUUAAGUAAGGUUUGUAUAUUUUGAUUAACUUAAUAUAAAAACUUAAGUAAAAAAAUUGGGUGACUAAUUCAGAACAGUGUAUAGUUGAACAUAAUUUUACCGAAAAUCACAGAGACCAAAAUAAAACUCGUCUCAGAAUUCAGGAGGCAGCAGCGUAAUUUACCCUAUGCUUUAACUUGUAAUAUUUCUUUUUUUUUUCUUAAUCUUGUUGUUCUUAAUUAGUUAAAUUUAAAACUUUGUUUUAUUAAAAGAUUAAUAAAUUUUUUUUAUUGAAUUUGUUAAUUUUCCCUUGCAUUUACUAGCCUACUAGUAGGAGAUGACUUAGGAAUACAAAACUGAGAUAUUAGUUAAAAGAGAAACUAACAAAUAAAAAAUAUAUAGAGAGAGAGUGUCUGGCUGAGAUACUAAGCACUUGAUAUUACUGAAUUUUCUAACGUUAGACUUAUCUCUUUCAUCAUUUCUAGCCAUUAGAUCAUAAUAUUCAACUAAGCACCCACUCAAUCUUAAAGGACCACUAUCAUCAUUCUAACUACACAUUUUUUUUUAUCCAGCACCAAUGACUUGUGCAAUUAAUAAUAUGGGUUAUUUGCAUACACGUCCCUGCAAACAUAGUAAAUUGCAGAAAUAUUCCUGCAAAACGAAAACUCCAUAAGUUAUCCCUGCAAAAGUCUAAAGUUAUGCAGAUAUGUUCCUGCCGUUAAGGACUGUUAGAAAAUUUUCGUUAACCACGGUUAAAAUACUUAACCAUGGUUAAUUAUAACGUGAAUUUACGGUUCUAUCUUUCUUCUUCUUCCUCCUCUUCUUCUUCCCUCUUCUUCGUCGCCGGCGAGGGCGGCGGCGGCAGCGACGGCGGCGACGACGGUGAACCCUCUUUCUUUCUUUUCCUCCUUCUUCCUCUCCCUCUUCCCUUUUCUCCCUUCUUCUUCCUCUCCCUCUUCCUCUUCCCUCUUCUUAAUCGCCGGUGAGGGAGAAGAUGCGAUGGCGGCGGCGAACCCUCUCCAUCUCCCUCUUCUUCUUCCUCUCUCUCUUUCUUUUCCUCUUCCUCUUCCUCUUCCCUCUUCUUCAUCGCCGGCGAGGGAGGAGAUGCGGCGGCGGCGCGCGGCGACGAACCCUUUCCCUCUUCAUCUUUCUCUUCCCUCUUCCUCUCCCUCUUCCUCUCCUUCUUCUCUUCCCUUUUUUUCUUCCUCUCGUUCUUUCUUUUCCCUCUUUUUCGUCGCCGGCGAGCUGGACCCGCGCCGUCGCCGCCAUCCGCUCCGGCGGCCCGAAGAGGAAGAGUAAGAGAAAGAGAAAGAGAAGGGGAAGAUGAUACUUUUAGAGGGAUAUAUUUGUGAGGGCAAAAUGGUCAUUUCACAAAAAAACUGUUAAAAAAUAAACAGUUCUCUAACAGAUGUUAAUCAGAGGGACAUAUCUGCAUAAAUUAGGACUUUUGUAGGGACAACUUAUGGAGUUUCCGUUUUGCAGGAAUAUUUUCGCAAUUCACUAUGUUUGUAGGGACGUAUAUGCAAAUAACCCUAAUAAUAUUUCAGCCAAAUUCUAUAUAUCUAUACUAUAUAUAAAAGCACGACCCAGAUAAGAAUAUGAUACGUGAUAAACAAACUUUAAUUUAAUUUUUUCUCUGACAGAUAACAGGUAGAAAAAAAUAUUUUCCUAUUUAAUACUUUAAUUUAUUUUUUCUUAAUAGAUAACGUGUGGAAAAAAAUAUUUUUUUAUUUAAUUUCAAAAUAUUUUUUCUUUUUCCGUAUACAAAAUAAAUAACGUAAUAAAAUAAACUUUUAAUUCUUCUUUUUUCUCCAAUUAUUAUUAUUUUACUUUUUUAUUAAAUAUUUUUAUCAUUCAAUAUUUUUUUCUUUUAAGAUAAAUAUUUAUAUAUUAUUAUCUCUAUUAUAUCAACUAAUAUUUUAUUAUUAUCGGAAUUAAGAAAUAUAGAAAAAUAUUCAAUGUAUAUCUAUAUAUCUAUACUAUAUAUAAAUUUUAUAAAAUAAAAAAUAAACUAUAUAAUUGUUGUUGGCAUUAAUUAUUUAAAUUUGAGUUAGAAUAUGACAGAUAUUUUCUAAUAAUAUAUAAUAAAUAAAUUUACAUUUUCUAAUGGUUGAAAUGAUCCGAGAAGUAGAUCUAACGGUAAAAAACUUACAAGCACAAGUGCUUGGUGCUUUUACCAGCAUCAUAGCUGAACUCUCUCUCUCUUUCUACAUAUAUAGAGUCCGGCUAAGAUGUUAUCGAUAGCACGAAGUACUUGGUGCUAUCAAGUUCCGUUUGAUUAUACUAUUCAACUAAUCACCCACUCAACACUAGGGUGCGCACAUCAUCCUAACCGCACAUCUUUUAAUCCAAUGAUAGAAAACUUAAUAGCACAAAGUCAUUAUGCUAUUAAUAGUAUUUCAGUCUAGUUUAUAUAUAUAUAUAUAUAUAUAUAUAUAUAUAUAUAUAUAUAUAUAUAUAUAUAUAAGCAUGAAACUCAUGUUAUCUCUAUUCGAUAAAAACAANGGGGCGGAUGGGAAGAACCGAGAAGUCUCUUGAGGAGAUAACCGACUUUGCAUUAAUUACACGGACGAUACAAAUUUAAUUUUUUAAGACACCUAAGAACAAAUACCUAAAUUAUUGGACAUGUAUUAUUGUAUAUUUUUUUAAAAAAAAUUUGUGUUUAUGUGAAACGUUACAUAUAUAGAAACACCAUAGCAUUUAUGGGCUCGUCAAUUAACUUCCAAAUAUUUUUUAUUUCAUUAAACAUUAUUAUUUAGAGCAACAUUUGAAACGACCCAGUAUUUAUGGGCUCCUUAAUUAACGUUCAAAUGUUUCCUAUUCUGCUAAACAUAAUUAUUUAGUGGAGCCCACUAAAGAAAUAUAUUCUGUACAAUUACAGAAGAGGUGGGUCCCACUUUUUUCCUAAACUAAGGAGAAAGCUUGAAUCCCACGGGGAUUCAUAAUAGUUUAUAGAUGCUGCAUGGAUACAUUGGAAAAGAGUCAUGGGCAAUUAAAGAAAUAAUAAUAAUAAUAAUAAUAAUAAUAAUAAUAUGGAUUAAUUGCAUUAUUGGUCAACCACAGGUCUGAAAUGCUGAAGUCUAAUUAUUAGUUCUAUCAUAUUUGUCACGGAUAAGACUCUCUGACUUUUCUAUAUCAUCUAGUGCGAGACUAUUUGGGGUGUUAGAGUAUGCAAUAUUGAAAAGAGCACAGAUAUAUGAGAAGAUACUGAGGUGAUGUUUGGAUUGGGUGCGAGAGGGAUAAAGCCCUUAUCUCCUUCUUGUACCCAAACAUCAAUACUAAGGGUGGGAACAGCUUAGCGGGUUAUCUAAAUUACCCGCUAAGGGUGGGAACAGUUCAGCUGUUCCACCUUUAGUUGGAACAGUUCAUCUUAUCUAUCUAAACGUUAUUUUUUUUAUUUCCGAAAACAAUCAAUUUUCAUGCAAACGCAAAAGUAGUCUAGUUUUUGUUUAUAUCUGAAUUUGUACAUAUCCCUAGAAUAAGUAAUUCUUGCUUAUAUCCGAACUAAACGAAGCCUGAGAGAAUUAAACUUGACAUAAUAAACACGCUUAUUAGGGACUUAAGUAAUAAUAAAUAAAAAAAAUAACGUUUAGAUAAGUAAGAUGAAAAAUAGCGUUUUAUCUUAUUUUGUUGUGGAGGAGCUAGCAUUGUUCCAAUAACCCUUGCAAAAUUUUUUUUUUUUUUUUUUUGGGUUGUUAAAUUAUAUGUUAUUUGUUGGGAUUUUUAUAUUGUUGUUAGAAUUCUAUAUAGUAAAGAGUCUGUUUCCUUUUCCUUUUAGGUUUUUUUUUUUAAAAUUGUAUUUAAGAUAGUGAAUUAUUGACCGUUUCUUAAUUAUUCUUUCAUAAGACGAAAUAUGAUUAACUGGCCAAAUAAUAUGUUGAUAGAACUAUUUAACAAAUUCUAAUAUUUUUAAUAAUUUAUUAAAAAAAAAUCUAUUAUAUAUCAUACACUACAAAAAAAAAAAGCAACAUUUAAGAACAAUUUUUUUUUAAUAUUUAACGAUUCCUAAAAGUAUUCCAAUAUAAUCUGGCAAAUGAGGAGUCGCGAGAGUCGCCACUUAUACCGAUGUCGCUUAUACCAAGUGUCUCUAAAAUAUAUUCUGAAAAGUAUUGAUAAAAUUUAUCCUAACACUUUAGAGUGUUGAAAAAUUAAAAAUAAUAGUAAAAUUUAUCAUUUAAUAAAUUGGUUUGAUACAAUAAAAGAUUCAUCUGAUGACACUUUUUGAAGCGUUGGUAUUUACUAUAUUUUAUGGACACAUUUAUUUUAACGUCGUUUAAAAAGCGUCCUUAUAUUGAAAUUUUUUUAAUGGUGAUUGUUGAAGGACUAGAUUUUGACUUUGUAAAUCAAAUCUCAUUAGUUGCCAGAUUUCUUUAAAUAAAAAGAGAAGAUGAUAAAGAUCAUCAAACUGGAAAUAAGGAGUGGGGGAGGAGGGUUGCUCACGUACAGCGAGGAGAUCGAGGAGGGUGGCUUGGUCGAGUUGCUUGACGAGGUCUCUAUCGAAAUUCGUGAGUGCUGUGUCUUCACUUUCGCUGUGAUAGCCAUAGCUAUAGCCAUAGCCAUAGCCAGAGCCGCCGUCGUCAUAGUCGCGGUGGAACCUGAGGUACGAGACCGCCAACGCGAGGAUCUCGCCGCUCACUAUCGGCAGCGUGACGCCGUCCAAGGCGAUGCCGAGCUCCAUCAUAUGCCGCAGCAUUACCGACCCCCGCGCCACCGCCUCAUCCAUCUCGAACUCCUCCCCGUCGUUGCUCGUCACCCUCACAGUCCUCCGCUCCUCCUUCUGCUCCUCCUUCUCCGCCCUCGACGACGACGCCGCCACCCUCACCGUCUUCUGCUCCUUCUUCUUCGCCCUCGACGACGCCGCCACCCUCACCGUCUUCUGCUCCUCCGCUGCCGCCCUCGACGACGCUGCUGCCUCGCAAUCUUGCGACGCCAUUACCGCCCUCUCGCAAUCUUGCGACGCCAUUAUUAUUAUUAUUAUUAUUUCGAAUACUAGUAGCAGAGAUAAAGAGAGAAGAGGAGUAAAAACUAGCACGCUAUAAAUUAAUAAAACAGUCGAUGGGAAUAUAUAUACGUAUAUGUNUGGGGGGGAUAGGAAUUGAAUUUAUCACUAAUUUGCUAAAAAAUAAAAAUAAAAAAAAAUAAAAAGAAACCUCCAGUAAGUUCAGAAAAAAAAAGGAUAAGAAAAAAAAUAAGUAAAAAGCUUAAUUAGUCCAGACUCUUCUCCUCCAGCGCCCAUGAAAUCUCUUCCCGCACUUCCUCCUCCUCCUCCGGAGGGUAGUCGUUUUGGAUGCAGAAAGUCUGCCGGAUCUCCUCGGUGGUUUUGCCUUUCAACUUCUCAGCCACGGUUUGGCACGUCAGACGCAGCAGUCCCUCGAUUUCCAUAUAGUUAGACGCCUGUACAUGCAGUAAUUAUUAUUGUUAUCAUUAUUAUCAUCAUUUCUGCUGUGAACUUACAAAUUGUUAGAAGUUACAAAUUAAUUAAGAAUGUGCUGAGAUAAAACCAUGGUAAAAGAUCAAAGGGACAAGUACUACGAGGUAUCGUUUGGUUCGGAGAUAAGCAAAAAGUGGGUAUUCCGGGGAUAGGUAUAAAUUGAGGUAUAAGCGAGGAUUAGAUUAAUUUUGUGUUUGGAUGAAAAUUAAGUUAUUGCUGGGAAUAAAAAAAAUAACGUUUAGUUAAGUAAGAUGAAAAAUAGCGUUUUAUCUUAUUUUGUUGUGGAGGAGCUAGCAUUGUUCCAAUAACCCUUGCAAAAUUUUUGAUUGGACAAAUGAUUAUCUUUCUAAAAUUUUAUUCUGCCGACUAACUCUCUUUCUGCAAACUAACUCCAUGUUGGACGGAAAGAUGGUGAAUCGUUUACGUGAGGAUUUUUCUGUGUGAAAUUGUUAGGAUUGUAUUUCGAUUAUUGAAAUUUCUGUUUGAUUGUUAGAAUUUUACUACGGAUAGAUUGUUAGGAUUUUUCCUUUUAGGUUUUUUUUUUUAAAAUUGUAUUUAAGAUAGUGAAUUAUUGACCGUUUCUUAAUUAUUCUUUCAUAAGACGAAAUAUGAUUAACUGGCCAAAUAAUAUGUUGAUAGAACUAUUUAACAAAUUCUAAUAUUUUUAAUAAUUUAUUAAAAAAAAAUCUAUUAUAUAUCAUACACUACAAAAAAAAAAAGCAACAUUUAAGAACAAUUUUUUUUUAAUAUUUAACGAUUCCUAAAAGUAUUCCAAUAUAAUCUGGCAAAUGAGGAGUCGCGAGAGUCGCCACUUAUACCGAUGUCGCUUAUACCAAGUGUCUCUAAAAUAUAUUCUGAAAAGUAUUGAUAAAAUUUAUCCUAACACUUUAGAGUGUUGAAAAAUUAAAAAUAAUAGUAAAAUUUAUCAUUUAAUNNNNNNNNNNNNNNNNNNNNNNNNNNNNNNNNNNNNNNNNNNNNNNNNNNNNNNNNNNNNNNNNNNNNNNNNNNNNNNNNNNNNNNNNNNNNNNNNNNNNNNNNNNNNNNNNNNNNNNNNNNNNNNNNNNNNNNNNNNNNNNNNNNNNNNNNNNNNNNNNNNNNNNNNNNNNNNNNNNNNNNNNNNNNNNNNNNNNNNNNNNNNNNNNNNNNNNNNNNNNNNNNNNNNNNNNNNNNNNNNNNNNNNNNNNNNNNNNNNNNNNNNNNNNNNNNNNNNNNNNNNNNNNNNNNNNNNNNNNNNNNNNNNNNNNNNNNNNNNNNNNNNNNNNNNNNNNNNNNNNNNNNNNNNNNNNNNNNNNNNNNNNNAUAGCCAUAGCCAUAGCCGCCGUCGUCAUAGUCGCGGUGGACCCUGAGGUACGAGACCGCCAACGCGAGGAUCUCGCCGCUCACUAUCGGCAGCGUGAUGCCGUCCAAGGCGAUGCCGAGCUCCAUCAUGUGCCGCAGCAUCACCGACCCCCGCGCCACCGCCUCAUCCAUCUCGAACUCCUCCCCGUCGUUGCUCGUCACCCUCACAGUCCUCCGCUCCUCCUUCUGCUCCUCCUUCUCCGCCCUCGACGACGACGCCGCCACCCUCACCGUCUUCUGCUCCUUCUUCUUCGCCCUCGACGACGCCGCCACCCUCACCUUCUUCUGCUCCUCCUUCUCUGCCCUUGACGACGCCGCCGCCUCGCAAUCUUGCGACGACGCCGCUGCCGCCCUCGACGACGCUGCUGCCUCGCAAUCUUGCGACGCCAUUACCACCCUCAACACCGUCGCCGCCGCCUCGCAAUCUUGCGACGCCAUUAUUAUUAUUAUUAUUAUUAUUAUUAUUAUUAUUAUUAUUAUUAUUAUUUGGAAUACUAGUAGCAGAGAUAAAGAGAGAAGAGGAGUAAAAACUAGCACGCUAUAAAUAAAACAGUCGAUGUGAAUAUAUAUACGUAUAUGUAUAGGUUUUUUUUAAAAUUCUAAAUAGAUUAGGAUUGUCGUAUACAUUAUUAUUUAUAUUAUUAUAUAUAUAUAUUAUUUAUAUAAAGGAUAAUGGAUAUUUGGAAAGAGAAUCUACUGGGCUAGAGAUAGAUUGGAAUUAGGAUUUUUGUUUCCGUAAAGAUUUGAAAUUAUAAAUUUAUUUUAUGUAAUUUUAAUUAUUAAAUAUAUUUUAUCGUAAAUUUAAUCAUGCAAGAUUGACUUUAGCGGUUACGUCCUUCAAAAAACAUAAGUUUCAAAACAAGGGUAAACUUUAAAAACCAUCACGUAGUUUCACAUUUUUUUAUUUUAAUAUCUUAUGAUUUAAAAUGUAUCAACUUAUUAUUCUAUAAUUUUAUUUUUUUCUUUUCGUCAGGUCCUUCAUUAACAUUUCGUUAUAUUAUAUGCAAAAAAAUUUUAGAUAAUCCAUCUAGGUUUAUCAAAUAUUCACUUUAGUGCCUUUUAGUUUUAUCUUUAUUAGUGAUUUUACAAAAAAAAAUUAGUAGAAGGAAUAAUAAAAAGAAAAAAUAAAAUCAUAGGGUACUAAAUUAAUACAUUUUAAAUCACAUAGUACUAAAAUAAAAAAUUACGAACCACAGGAGUGGUUUUUGAAGUUUUCCCAAAAAAAGUUAGACGUUUUAGCAUAAAAUCUACUGAUUUAAUGAUUUUGCAAAAAAAAAUUAUUAUUUUAGAUUUUGCAAUUUCAGUUCAAUAUUUUUAGAAAUCAAGUAUAGUGCACAUGCGAUGUAUGUCACAUUUAAUUAAAUUAAAUUUAUAUUUAUAUUUUAAAUUUAAAUGAUUAUUAGUGGUAUAAGUCUAUUUAUCAAUUAAUUUUUUUCUAGUUCUAAUUUUUUUAAUGUGUAUCCAAAUUUUAAAAAUUUGAAGUAAUUCUAAAUUUUAAAUUAAUGAAUUUAGAUUUAAAUUUAUAAAUAAAAUUUAAAAUAUGAAUUUAAUUUUGAAUCCAUAAUUUGAAUAUCAAUAGUUAUUAGAGACAUGGCCUUUUUGCAUAAAAAAUCCACUUAUUUUGGGUUUUUGUAAAACCGGGCAAUCUUUUUCGUUUUUGCAGAUUCGGUCCGCUUUUUCAGCAAACUGACCAAAAUACCCUUAUAUAUUUUUCUCUUUCCUCUUUUUUUUCUCUCUCCUUUCUUCGAUCUCGUCGCCGCUCACCCUUUUUUCUCUCUUCUCUUUUUUCGUUUUUUUUUCUCGUUCCUUUUUUCUUUCUUUUCCCAGAGACGUCGUCGUCCCCGGCCGUGCUCGCCCGUGCUCGCCGCCUCGUCGCCGAGGGCUCCAUGGACACCGCCCGCGUCGUGCUGGAGCGGAGCGACUCGGAGUGGCGCCCGGCCGACGCCGUCGAUGCGUCCGGCGAGGGCCGGUGGACGCGGCGGCGGCGACACCGCGGGGGGAGGGGCGGGGACGAGGGCGAAGGCCCGGGGCGGGCUGGCCGGCGGCACGGGAUCCGCGGGCUUGAAGACCCGCGCGUGGAGCUUCACCCUGUCGCUCGUCUCCACCGUCGACGACGCCAUGGGCGCGGAGCUCGGAGGAGCUAAGGAAGCUCCACGCGCCCGGGGCGGGCCAGCACGGCUGGAGGAGGGGCGGCGGCGAGGGCGGAGGCAGAGAGAGAAGCAGCAGAGGAAGAAGAAGCAGCAAAGGAGUUAAAAGAAAAAAAAAAGAGAGAGAGAGGCAGAGAGAGAAGCAGCAGAGGAAGAAGAAGGAGAAGAAGUGUUAAAAAAAGGGGUGGAAAAUGGUGUAAUGGUGCAAAAUGGAAUAAUAGUGUAAUGGUGCAAAAUUGUAAUCGUGUAAUGGUGUAAUGGUGCAAAAUAGUGUAAUGGUGUAAUGGUGUAAUAGUGCAAAUGGUGUAAUGGUGUAAUGGUGCAACAUUAUAAUGGUGUAAUGGUGUAAUGGUGUAAAAUAGUGUAAUGGUGUAAUGGUCCAGAUUGCACCAUUAGGGCCAGAUUGCAUCAUUUAAAAAAAUUUUACACUAUUUUUUUUUCCCUCUUUCUCUUCUUUUUCUUCUUCUUCUUCUAGAUUGCACCAUUAGCUUUUUUUUUUUCCUCUUUCUCUUCUUCUUCUUCUUCUUCUUCGACGGAGGCGUCGGAUCGGCGGCGGGGGACGUAGGGGGAGACGGAUCGGGAGGCCACGAGGCGCAGCGGAGACGAUGGGCGAUGGGGCUUCAAGGUGCGGCGGCUCGGGGCCGGGGGGGCCUCGUUGUCGUCGUCGUCACCGGGCAACUAGUAGGAACGCGUAGGAACGCGCGGCGCCGGCGCCUAGUAGGAACGCGCGGCGCCAGCGCCGGCGCGGCGGUAGUCGGGCUCGGGGUCGGCGCGGGGGAGGUCGACGAGGAAGUAGAGCUUCCCCGGCUUGAGCGGGGCGUCGGGGUCGAGCGGUCGGGCUCGGAGUCCGACGCGCUUGACCUCCUCGGACUCGAGCACGGCGAAUCCCGGGUGGUCUCGGAGGUCGACGUCGGCGCCGAACUCCAGCAGCAGCUGGACGAGGUCCGGCCGGCCCUGCGCGAUGGCCGAGUGCAGCAGGCCGACGCCGGACGCGUCGACGGCGUCGGCCGGGCGCCACUCCGGGUCGCUCCACUUCAGCACGGCGCGGGCGGCGUCCAUGGAAAAGAAAGAAAAGAACGAGAAAAAAAAAGAGGAGAGAGAAAAAGGAAAGAGAAAAAUGUAUAAAGGUAUUUUGGUCAGUUUGCUGAAAAAGCGGACCGAAUCUGCAAAAACGAAAAAUAUGGCCCGAUUUUGCAAAAGUCCAAAAUAAGUGGAUUUUUUAUGCAAAAAGGCCUAGAGACAUUGAUUUAUUUUCCCAUCUUUUUUUCAAAUUUGAUAUAUUUUCAAGUUAAUUAAAUUUUUUCCUUGGUCAAAAACUAUUUUAAUAAUUAUCUCAAAUCAAUAUAAAUUUGUGAAUCACAUUUAUUUACAAAUUUAAAAUUUUAAAUUGUAAAUACAUAUGUUAUAUUUUAUUAAAAAAUAUCUCAUAUUUUAAAUAUUAGUAGAUAAAAUUAAGAUAAUUUUUAUAUAUUCAUUCUUUUUUAUUAAAUAUUAUAUAUGUGGAUGGUAUUACGUGUGAUUGGAUAAAGGUGUUGGGUAUUACGUGUGAGAAAGAAAAUAUUUAAGAAAUUCUUAGAUUACGGAUCUCAUUUGUGAUGAAAUAUGAUAUUAUGUGAGCGAGUGAAAUUUGGUACGCAAUAUUAGAGGCAAUUUAGAUAAAAAAUAUGAUAAUACUUAAUUCGCCAGCUGUUAGAUUAGAUCCAAUGACUAAGAAUUAAUAUAUUUUAUAAUAAUUUAAAAAUAAAAUAAAAAUUACACGACUAUGAUUUAUUUUAUUAAGUUGAAUAAAUAAUAUUGACAGUAUGUGACUGGAAUUAUAGGACCUGCAUUUUGAAAAAGAAAAAAAUUUUAAAACUCCUACUUUUUAUAAGUAGCAUAAAUGGACUAGAGUACCUCUUUGUCUCUCUUUCCUCCCCGUCUUCCUCCUCCCGCUUCACCGUUCCAACGGGGGCGCUGCCAUCGCCUCCUCCACGCUGCUUCUGGCGGUGUAGGUAAGAUAGUUUGGGAGGUGGACAGCGGCAACACAAGCGAUGCCGAUUUUUUAGCAAAAUCAUAAAAUCAAUAAUUUCUUUAUGAAAAAAGGCUUUCUUUUUAAUAUUUGAAAUUUAGGGUUCAUGAAAUUGUUAUAAAAUAUUAGAAAACAAAAGUGGAAGGCACAAAUAAAAGCCAAGAGCCAAACAAAAGUAAAAGCAAUACAAUGAGCCAUUUUAAUUAGACUAUCUGACCGUUCAAAAUUUUGAUUCAUUAUCCAACCUUAUAAUUAUAUAAUUUGAGUCAGACAACAACUUAAUUUUAAAAUUUGAAUACUUAUUUAUAUGUAAAGACCUAAUAUUUUUACGCAAUUCUUAUAUUUAUAAAUUUAUUUAAAAUAAGAAAUUAGUUUAAAUUUUAAAAUUAAAAUAUUAUUGAUUGACUCAAAUCAAACAAAUUGAGAGGUUGGAUAAUAAUAUUAAAAUUUUGAAAGGCCGAAUAGUAAAUUCAAAAUGGUUUAUAGUUCGAAUAAGUUAUAUAUGUUUGAAACCCGGAAAACCAAAAAUAUAGAAAAGAGGAAGUUGAAAUUAAUCGUAUCUAACAAAUCCGAUAGUCCAAAAUUUAAAGCUUAGUUAUUUUAUAUUUCUACCAAUUUUUUUUUUAUAAAAAAUGAACGAAGAAUAUAUAAAAACAUACUUCUUCAUUUUCAGCGAAGGAUCAUAGCAAUCAUAUCGUAAUCAAACAUUUCCAAUCUACACAACAUAGUAUCUUUUGUAGAAACAAACACGGAGCCUUUUAGUGUUAGUGUACUUUUUGAUGAAAUUUGAAUCAAGCAUAGAAUUUGUGCGAAUGUGCAUACGUUUGUGGACACUUUUAAAAUUUUUAAUUUUAUUUGUAACGAUUCUCCCCACUAAUAAUAACAACUUAUUGGGUUAAAACUACCGACCUGAAAUGUUUAAACUCAAUUACUAAUAUUAAGAUCUUUGAUUUUUAUAUUAUCAAUUAACUCUUUUUUUUCAUCUUAUGUGGGAGACGCGACUCCCUUGUUAGUAGGGAUGCAAACGGGGUGGAUGCCCCGCCUCCCGGCCCGACUAGUGAAAUUCUGCCCCGCGUCCCGCCCCGAAUUCGUGACGGGUUAAAAAAUGCAUCCCAUAAUCCGUCCCGCCUUGUAACCUGCCAUCCGUCGGCGCCCUGAAUCUAUCCUGCCAACUAAUAUUUUUUAUAAAAUUAUAAUAUUAUUAAUAUUUUGUAAAAUAUAAAAUAAUAAUUUUUAAUAAUAUUAUAUAUAUAAUUUAACAAUAUCAAUUAUAAAAAUAAAAAAUAUAAAUCACAAUUCAAAACAAAAUUCAAAAAUUUGAAAUAUAUUAGAAAUGAGAGCGCUAACUUAUUUGUAUUUUUAACUUUUUGUAAAUACAUUAUUUUUUAGGAAUAUUUUUAAAAAUAUAAAUAAUUUUUGGAGUGGAUUCAGGGUGGAUUCGAGGCGGAUCAUGGCGGGGCGAGUCAAAAUUUCUCCCGUUUCCUAUCCGAAUCUGUUUCGGAUCGUAAAAUUCACCCCGUUUCCUGUCCCGAAUUCGUUUAUUUUCUCCCAUUUACUGUCCCCGUCGGGGCGGAUCGGGGCGGCAGCUCCACCAACCCGGAUCCGUUUGCAUCCCUACUUGUUAGAGGGGUUCCGACUGAUAUUUGGCUCUCAUUCUCAAUAUAACAAUAUGAUCAUAUCGAAAAAAUACUUAAAGUCCAAUUAUUAAUAUUAGAAUAUCUUAUUCUUAUAUCUACAAUUAUAAUUAUUUUCUUAUCUGAUAUAAGAUUAUUGAGACAGUUACAUUAUUGUUGUAAAAAUUUAUCAAUAAAUUAAAUUUAACUAAAAUAGCGAGGUAUGAUGGAAAAGAGCACAAAAACAUAAUAUCAUUAAAUUAAGAAUAAUCUCGACCCAUAUAACGAUCCGGGCUCUCACCAGUCAAAAAUACUAAUAUUAAGUCUCAUUAUAUAUUCAAUGAUAAUUUUAUUCCCAUUCGAUGUGGGACUAGUAGGAUGUCUCAACCCAAUUCAAACAAAAAGAGAAAUUUGAUUCGAUGAUUAAGUGUUCCUAAAUACACUUCGUUGAAAAUUUUUAAUUUUGAAAUCCUUUGAACAAUAAGUAAAUAAUACUAAAAAUUGUGAUUGUUUUUUUUGAGGAAAAGUUAGUACACUAUCCGUUUUAUUCAUUAGAAAAAUAAACUAGGCUAUAAGGGUGAAGCAAAAAAAAGCCUCAAGCAAGACGAAAAAAUUUAAAUAUAAAUAUAAAUAUAUAAAAAAUAAAUUAAAAAAUAAAAUUAAAAAAUUAAUUUUGUAGACUGCUGGUGCUGUUGUGCUAAGAAAAUUUGUCUCCACAGUUUUAUUAACUGCUUGAUUUUGUAGACUGCUAGCAGGGGUCCGGCUGAGCUUUCCUAAAAAUCACACCGUUUUAGUCUAGUCAAAUUAUUUCGCAGUAUCUACUAUCCGCUCCUUAUCAUCCACCUAUCUCAAACCAAAUUUACAUUAUUUUUCAAAUUCCUAGACUGGACACCCUCCACACCCUCCAUGGCCAUCACCACAAGAAAUCUAAUAAAAACACAGUGUGAAUAAGUGGCCCACUGGCUCCUCUUCAAAAUUUCUAUAAAGUUCGUAUAAAGUUACAAUAUGUGAAAUUUAGUUCCUAUAAAGUUACAAUGUGUGAAAUUUAGUUCCUAUGUAAAGUUCAUAUUUACUAGCGUCAUGUCAAGGACUUAAACAAAAAUAAUUGUUUAGCUCAUGCGGUGUUUUUCUUCGUUUGCGAAGUGAGCAAGUCUACCUCUCUACUUAAAAAGUCCAGAUCUACUCGUCUAAAAUUAAGUACAAUGUUUGACAAGUGUUGUAUAUUGUAUUUGAGAAUAGAGAUUACAACCGAUUUUUUUAGAAAUGGGGAUGAAAAUCACAACUAUAGAUAUAGGCCGCUUGCCAUCUGAACUACAAAUAGUGAGAUGCCAAGUGGCACAAAACUAUUAAGCAACGAGAGAGGUUACUAGUGUCCAAGUUGUCGGAUCAUUGGCGCUAAUCAUUAAUCUCCAAAACUCGAGUUAUUAGAAAUACGCAACUAAUUCACUUAAAACGUACAGAUACAGCGCCCAUGGGUCUCGAUUAUGACUCGGCACAUCUAACCUCACGCCACUUCGAACAUGACUCGGCCCACCUAGCCUCACGCUAUUUCGAACAUGACUCGGCCAACACACGACCUUCCGCCACAUGACAGGAUGCUGACCCAUUUAAACCAACACAAGUGAUUAAACUCCCUCCUAAAAAUUUUAAAAGACUUUUGAUCGUUCGGUUUUGAAAUCCGGAGAUACUUUUAGAAUAUUCCAGCAAAUCCUCAGAUAAAAUUUAUUUUCUGAGUUUUAAGUAAUUGCAAGGAAGAAGUCAGUAAAAAAAUAUUUAUCGGUGACAGUCGGCUACAAAAUAAACGCACCUAAAAUAGAAAAUUGUUAAGAAGCAUUCUGAUCCAACUCCCUUUUUAAAUAUCUCGGAUAUCACAUAACGCAUCUACUCAAUAAAUUAAAUUCUGAGUGCGAUAACGCUUUUACGAUAGAAUUUUAAAAAUGCAGCGCUCGCCCAUGCAAUACUUUCUCCUCACUCACACACACACACACCCCAAAAAAAAGAAAAAAAAAGAAAAAAAGGGAAAAAAAAAAAACCUCAUUGAGCAUUAGCUCCGGCGGCCGCGCCGGAGGAGAAGGAAUCCGCGGAGAGCUGCCGCCGGAACGCCGCGAUGAACGCCUCCGCCCUUCUGUUCAGCUCCUCCGCCUCGACCCCUCCCUCCUCAUCCGCCUCCGCCUCCGCCUCCGCCUCUGCCUCUGUCUCCGCCGCCGUCGCUGAUCUCUCCUCGAAUUUCUCUUUCUCUCCGUCAAUCUUCGACGUCGCCUUCUUUCUCUCGACGCCGAGGGAGCGCGCAGGUCGCAGCGAGACGACGACGAUGGAGGCGACGACGACGUUGAGCAGCAGGAAAAGGAAGGGGGAGGGGGCCAUCACUAGCGCUGCGGAGAGAGCGCACGAACACGGGAGGAAGGGGAGGAGAUGCUUCAUGCCGGAGACGAACAGUGCCGCGCCCGCGGCAGCUAACGCGGCUUCCACCAUCUCUUCUUCUAUCCUCGGCCCUCGCUUCCCUUCCUCCAUUCAUGCAUUAAUAAGUAUCAUCUCCUCCUCACUCUUUUUUUUGGGGGGGGAGUAUUUCACUUGGCUUUGUAGAGAUGUAGGAGUGGUAGAGAGAGAAAAUUUGUUGGCAUGCAUGAUGAUUAUGCUAUCGAUCGACAAAAGCUUACAAAACAGUCGUUCUUUCUACAUUAUAAAAAUAUAAGAAUAAUUAAAUUUUUUUUUUUUUUUAUGUACUUGGCUUCGUAUUCGUGGUGCCGCAAAUUUAGCCUUAUCGUUUCUAAAAAAGUGUGACUAUAUAUAGAGAGAGCAAGUUAGACUAGAAUAUUAUUAAUAUUAUUUAUUCUUUUUUGUUGUUAAGUUUUUAGUUUUUAAAUUAAUAUUUUUGAUUAGUUCUAAUCAUUGGGUUAAAUAUUAUAAUCCAGUAGGAACCGCUUAACCCUAAGAGACUAAUAUCAUUCUAAUCCUACAAUUUUUCAUCUAAAUGUUAAAAUUUAAUAGUAAAAGAGGCCAAAUACUACCGAUAGUAUUCCAGCUCAACUCUCUCUCUCUAUAUAUAUGGAGUUCGAUUAAUAUUAAUCAUUAGUUAUUAGAGUUGAUUAAUAAUAUUUUCCUCUAGUCGAAGGAUUGAUUCUUUGUGUAUCUCUCUCUUUUUUGUCUUUGUGUUUCUUUCCUCGCAACGAAGUUUAAGCCUGCGUCAAUUCGAUACUUCAUUCCAAAUAACCUAUUUUUAGUUUGGGGCUAUUUGGUCAAAUGUAAUUGUAAAUACGUAUAGUUCAAAAUGCAUAUAUUUUUAAAUACAGUAAUUAUUAUUAUAUAUAUUUUUGUUUGAUUCAACAUAGCAUUGCCAAAAAAAAAGGUUUUUUUUUUUUUUUUUUGAGAAAUAAGUAGCACGCUAUCCGCUUCGUUUAUUUCAUUUAGAAAAUAAACUUAGCUGAAAAUGUGAAUCAAUUAGGAUUCGAACUUGAGAUCUCGGGUACCAACCACCAAGUCCUUUGUCAAAAAAAAAAGUUGACAGUAAAAAUAUUUUUUUUGCAUUUCCUUUUUUUUUGGCAUUGAGAGAUGACAAUAAUUAUAUGGGCUGUUCAUUCAAACAUUGGUAAUAUUCUAAUAAUUCUUCAUAUUAUUUAUAACAAAUAUUUAAAUUUCUCCAUAUUAUUUACGACAAAUAUUUAAAUUUUUACUAUUCAACUCAAGUCGUGAAGUGAUAAUUUUUAAGCAGUAAGAAUAUUAUAUCAUUAGUAAUAAAAAUAUAUUGGUUUCUAAUAACCUUCCAAAUUCCCAAUUAUUUGAUACAUUCAUAACAAAUUUUAUAUUUUAAACAUAAAAAUAUAAAAUAUUUUUAAAACAUGUUAUAAAAUUUGGACCAAAAAGGCUUUGAUAAAAGUUCAUGGCGAAAAGUUUGUGCGCUGUGAAAACUGCCUGGGGCUUUGUCGGGCCUGCGGAUCCGACAAGCGCGGAUCCGACAAGCGCAAACAUCCACGGGGGUGGUGUUGGAUGGGCAAGUUCCAGCACCGCAGCAAACGGCAUCGGCGACGAACAAAUGAUCAACACGUGUCUCUUUUUAUUUUUAAUGCUUAGUUCAUAAAUAAUAAAAGAAAAAACUUCUAAUACCAUCCACAUGGUUUAAUACUUUUUUAUUUUAGUGCUUUGUGAUUUAAAGUGUAUCAAUUUAGUACCCGCAAUUUUAUUUUUCUCUUUUUAUUAUCCCUUUCAUUAAUUUUUUUCCGUUAAAUCAGUAACAAAGUUAAAAUUAAAAAGUACUAAAGUGAAUAUUCGAUAAACAUAGGUGAAGUAUCUGAAGUUUUUUGCAUAUGAGGAGCUAACGAAAAGAAAAAAAAAAACUACGGAAUAUUACUAGAUUGAUACCCUUUAAAUUAUAGAAUAUUGAAGUGAAAAAUGUGAAACUAUAGAAAUGAUAUUUGAAAUUUAUUCUAAAUAAAAUAAAUAGUUUUUUUUGUACCACCACUACCACUGUUUAGCGUGAUUGGCUCAAAUUUAACUCUAGCUUCAACUGCAACUGAAAAUGAACGCAUAUAUGGAUAAUUUAUAUGGCAAAUAAUACCCGCCAAAAAAAAGGAAAAAAAAAAAAGAAAAAAGAAAACAAAAGAACAUGGUGUAUGGUGGUUGAGAAAUAAGCAGGCGCAUUUGGAAAGAAAAGCUGCUGUGCUUCUCAUCUUUUCAUGGUCGGCGUGUUGGGGACAGCAUAAUAACCCCUUUCAUCAUAAAACAGGAAAAAAAAAGCUAUGUUGCUUUUUCUCUUUCCCACCUUUAUGUUUUGAUCCAAGUUAGCAUAAAGGAGCAAAAAAGGUGCAGUCACAGGGACCAGGAACGAGGCCAGAAAUUUAGGUUCGAAAGGUGGUGGAAAAGAUUUAAAUUUGACGCACAAAAAUUUGACAUCGAAUAGUAAAAUUUGUUAGAUUUAUUGAUUACCUAUUGUUCGUAAUAGUAAUGAUAAUGUGUUCAAAAAAAAGCAAGCUACUUCGAGAACACGCAAUGGAAGUCAAGUGAAAUUCAACUGUAAUAGCUGAAGGGAAAGGAUCGAUAUUUCUCGAAAAGAAAUUGGUACAUAAGUUUUAUUAAAAAAAGUUAAUUUGGUCCCCUAAAAUUAAAAUUUAUAAUACUUUAUCUUCUACUAUAAAGGAUUUUUAUAUAAUUUUUAAAAGUUUAGGGGAGGCCAUGGCUUUUGUAGGGACCGUUUUAGUGGCUCAGUUCCUGCACGGGACCAAUUGUUUUUGAUCAAUGACUCUUGCCCCAGAAUUCUAGAAAAGAAGUUUGAGUUUAAAAUCAAAAUUAAAAUUAGAUGUGGAGAAAUAGAUUUUAACCGUCUCUGAUUUUGGUUCUCUAAAAUUAGAUAAUUGAUUCUAAAAAUCAAAAUUAGUUUCCGAAGUAGAGAUCAUCAAACGUUCUAUUGACAGAAAAAUUACUUUUAGCCUGAAAAUUACUUUUUAAAAGUUAGGCCAAACACCCACUAAGUCUCUCUAAGGGGCCAUUUGGUUGCAUGUAGUUACAACUGCACGGCAAUUGUAACUGUAUGAAAAUAUAACUUUGGUGUUUGGUUAGAUAUAUUUAACUCCAAUUGCUGCAGUAGGAACUGCAAGAGGAGAUUCAAUUGCAGCAGUUAAAACUACGCCCAAAUUGACCACAGUUUCAACUGCAGCUGUAAGUAGAGAUGUCAACGGGUCGGAUUCGGGGCGGAUUUUUAAAAACCCGAACCCGAACCCGACUCCAAACCCGAGACCCGAACCCGAACCCGAACCCGACGGAUUUUAAAAAUCCAUAUCCAAACCCGAACCCGACCAAAAAUCCGAAACCCGAACCCGAACCCGAACCCGAAAAUUUGAACCCGAAACAAUUAUUUCUUUUUUCAAUAUUUCAAAAUAUAUUAUAUUAAAUUUAAAAUUUUAAAAUACAAAUUCAAAUAUAACAUCAAAUUUUUAUAUACAUAUUAUAUAUAAUACAAAAUAAAUUCGGGUUCGGGUCGGGUUCGGGUUCGGGUCGGGUACAAUCAAAAUCCAUAUCCGAAUCCAUAUCCGUCGGGUUUUUAUUUUUUAUAUCCAUAUCCAAAUCCAUAUCCAUAUCCAUCGGAUAUAUCCGUUUCAUUCGGGUUCGGGUUCGGAUAAAAUUUCGGGUAUCCAUACCCAUUGACAUCCCUAGCUGUAAGAGCCCAGGUAAUCAUAUAUAUAAGAUAUAAUAGGGCUAAACUCUUAACUUGGCUUAAGCAUUUUGGACGGUGGUUAGGCUUAAGAGGUUAAGAGAGUUAAGCGUGCUAGAACGGGAGUAGUUAUAGGAUAGGUGACCCUCUGCGAAGUUGGGGCGUCACAGUUGAUAUCAGAGUCAAUUAUCAGCUCGAAAUAUAAGAUGAGUCUCGGCUGAGUCAGGAUUAUAUAGUAGAGAGAACGAGACUCUCAUACUGUUGACUGUAUGUGAGAUGAGUCUCGGCUGAGUCAGGAUUAUAUAGUAGAGAGAACGAGACUCUCAUACUGUUGACUGUUGUAGAUGGAGCGCAUCUCAAUAUAAGAAAGAUUUAGGCUAGUAAGACGAGUCCUAUAUAUAUCGCCUGAUACUUGUGCAUCUGAGCUUGACGAGAACGUCAAGGCUUAACGGCGGGAGAAUGUGAGACCCCAAAUAAUUCUAUAUAUAAGAUAUAAUAGGUCUAAACUCUUAACCUAAUUUAAACAUUUUAGGUGGUGGUUAAACCCAAGAGGUUAAAAAAGUUAAGCGUGUUAUGACGGAAGUAGUCUUAGGAUGGAUGACCCCAUGAAAAGUUGGGGCGUCACAGCAAUAGUUGGAGAAAGUAACUUUAAAGAAAAAAUAAGCUUACCUCCUUAUUUAUUUUUUAAACAAAAAAUAAAUUUUUGACAUUGAAAAUAAUCUCACCAUUAUAUAUAUAAAAUGAUAAAAUUUAAAAAAAUAAUUUUCAACUAUAUGCAACCAAACAAAUUAUUUCUAAUUGCAGUGCCUUUUACUACAUCCAAUUAAAUGGGAUGUAUGUAGUUGCAACUACUAUAUUUUUAAAUUUUAUCAUUUUAUAUAUAUAAUGGUUUGCAAUUAUAUCUAACGAAAUGCCCUAAGUACCUACUUAUAUAUUGUUCCAGAAGCCAAAAGCCUCUUUGAGUUCCCUUUUUAAAACACACAAAUGGGAAUUGAAUCCCGGAAUUCUCUGAUAGCAUCUCAUGCAUGUCGUUAAAUACGAUUAUUUUUCAUACUUUAGAGGGUAAAUUUUAGGGAUAACUUCAAAAACUCACCUGUGGUUUCGCACUUUCUUAUUUUAGUACCCUGUGGUUUAACGUGUAUCAAUUUACCCUCCUGUGAUUUCGUUUUUCUCUUUUUAUUAUCAAUUUUAUUAUUAUUUUUUCUUAAAUCAGUGGCAAAGUUAAAAUUAAAGUACUAAAGUAAAUAUUCGAUAAAUCUAGAUAGGUAUCUAAAGUUUUUUGUAUAUAAUAUAACGAAAUAUUAAGAAAAAAGCUGCUGAAAAGAUAAAAAUAAAACCACAAGAGGGCAAAUUAAUACACUUUAAACCACAGGGUACUAAGGUGAGAAAGUGCGAAACCACAGGGGUUUUUUUGAAGUUUUCCCAAUUUUAUUAUAACCUUUAAGUUAAAAACAAAAUAUAUUUGUACAUUAACAAAUACAAAAAUCAUUAUAUAUUAAUAAUGAAAUAAUUAGUACAUAAAAUGAAAAAAAAAAGCUCUUAAAAUUUGCAUCUACUUUUCAGGUGUAUAAAUAACAUUGGUCAAUUUACUUUUGAUUGGAGUAGUAGCAGCAAAUUUAGGAAAUUUUUUUAUUUUCCCAGCUAUAUCAUUUAAAAAGUCAAAAACCUCAAGUUCUAUUUCUGAAAUGCACAAAUAAAAAAUUGAAUUCCAAAUUUCUCUCACAGCAUCCAUAUUGUUUCAUACCUUACCAGUACUAUCAACGGGGGAGCUAUUCUAAUUAAUUAAGUUAAAAAGAUAAAAUAUAUUUACAUAUUAAUGAACAAAAUGGAGGUAUUUUAAAAUACCUCUUUCUCCUUUUGUUCUCCUCUCCCCCACUUAAGUACCAGCCCUUGAACCUAUGACCUCCAAAUUUGGAAACACAUUAGUUACCAACAAGGACCAUAGAGGGUGGUGUUCACACCACUUUGGUUUUUCUUAUAUUUCAUAGAUGUUCGAAUUAAAAUUUUUUACUUUUUGUUCAAUUCCUUCAUAUAAGUAGUUAAUUUAUUACUAUGUUCCCUUCCUCUUAUUUGAGAGAUUGGAGAUUUGAUUCCUGCGUCCUAACGUAUCGUCUAUUCUCGAACAAAAAGUAAAAUUUUAGAAUUGCCAACUCUUAUACAGAUACGAAAGAGAUGGUACAACAAUGUAACUACGUACCCUGAUAAAAUCACAUUUACCUCAGAAAAUAUCAAUUCGCUCCAAAAAUUAUAAUUUAUAAAACAUUGAUUAAAAAGAGCAAUACUAAAUGGACACCAAAAGUAAAAUAUAAAUCUUACACUCUCUUAUCAAGGGCCUUAUAUCGGAUCAUUGUCUUGUAAUAUUUGAUGAUUCUUCAUUUUUUUUGUUUAAUAUGCUAUAAUUAUUUUUGUUCAACUCAAGUCGGAUAGUUUUAAAAAAAUGUUAAUAAAGUAAUGAAAAUAUUAUAGAAUGUAGCGGGACAUCUAUCCCGCGUAGUGAUUGAGCAGCAGAUUAGUCGAUGCAUAGAAGAAAAUAUACACACCUUCCUCUAUGGUGGUUUUCUAUAUAGCAGUGAUACUAUAUUAUUAUGUCACAAGCAAUUCAAAUUUUUUAUUUUGAAAAAGAAUUACAGAAAAAAUUAUAAUCGAAUGGCUAAAUUUUGGAAAGUAAUGUGAUUGACGGGAGAUAUGCAUAAUAUGCUGUUAUAAUCGUAUUUUAGAACUUUUACACCCUUUGGGGAGCACAGUUUGGUCCACAGAUGACGUGGUAGGCAUGGUUCACGCAGGAAUUUCUCCCCACCUCGCUACACCAGCGAUAUAUAUAUGCCGAGCAUUUUGGCGGGAGAGGGAGGACCCUCGGAGCUCAACCCAAGCUAGAAAAAAUGGCAGCGGAAGCGGCGGAGGAAGGUGCCGGAACCCUAGGCUCCGCGGCGACGGCGGCGGAGGAGUUCCUCGUGUGGAAGAAGAACGCCCCCUUCCUCUACGACCUCGUCGUCUCCCACGCCCUCGAGUGGCCUUCUCUCACCGUCCAGUGGCUCCCCUCCUCCUCCUCCUCCUCCUCCUCCGGCGGCGGCGGGGGCGGCGGCGCCGGAGGCCCCCUCCGCCGCCGCCUCCUCCUCGGCACCCACACCUCCGACGAGGACCCCAACUCCCUCAUGGUCGCGGAGGUCCAGCUCCCCCUCGCCCCUCCCCACGACGAAACCCUAAUCCCAACGGUCACGAUCGCGCAAUCCGUGCCGCACCAGGGGGAGGUGAACCGCGCGCGCUACAUGCCGCAGAACCCCGCGGUGGUCGCCACGAAGACGUGCGGGCCCGAGGUGCGCGUGUUCGACCUCGGCUGCGGCGGCGGCGGCGGCCCCGACGCUGUGCUCAAGGGGCACGAGACCGAGGGGUACGGGCUCUCCUGGAGCCCGUUCAGGGAGGGGUAUCUGUUGAGCGGGUCCUACGAUUCCAAGAUCUGCUUGUGGGAUUUGGGGGGCGGUGCGACCGGCGGGGCGAUUCUUGAUGCCAAGAAUGUGUUUGAGGUAAUGCUUCUGAGAAGUUCCUUUCAAAGUUCAUCCUGUAAAUUUUUCUUUUUCAGGUGAAAACAUUCACUACAAUAUUUAGAUGUUUCGAUUUUGCUACCUAAUUUUUAAAAAAAUUUGUUUAAUGUAUUUGAUGGCACUUUAGGGGUAAAUUGGUGCAUGCAGAAUGCUUAAUGGAGUUGAUUUCAGUUUCUCAUUUGAUUCGUGUAACCCAAAUUCUGUAAUGUAAGAAGCCUUAAUUGAUUCAAAUCAAACUAAUUGAGUCAAAAGUCUAGAGGUUAGUAAAUGGGUCAUAGUUUUGGUUACUUCUGACUCAUUACCAUGUACUCCUAAAUCGAGCAAUAUGGCUGCAUCACAAGGAAUUGCCAACUCAAGUUUACAUGAUUUCCAAAAAUAAAACUUUAGGAAGCCCCAGUAAAGGGCCCAUUAUAACAUGAUCUUGGCCAAAUUGUAUCCUGUUAUUAAUAACGAAGUAAUGAACCUAAUGGUUACACACGUUUUUGUUAUAUACGCCUUUCAUGUGUAGAAGAAGCAGUUCGAGAUACCAUUAUGGCAGUGCAAGUAGUUGUUUAUAUUUCCCUCAGUUAGUCACCUAUUGUGGAACCAACGAAAGAAUAGUGUAUUGACGAUAAAUAGUUCUAUGGAACAGGAAGAACAAACCCUUUUUUGUUGGAAGUCCAGUAAGAGCCAACUUUGUGCUGUCAAUAUUUGCAUGUCAAUAAAUUUUAGCAAAACAUGUUAUUCUGCAUAUGAAAUUGCAAAAUGAAUUGUUAGUAAGUUAUAAACUAUUACUUCUCCCGUGUUUUGUGUCCCUUUUAUAUAAAAACUAGGUAGUUUGCAGCUUUUUUCCUGAGUAUGUUAAUGUUGUGCAGGCUCACGAGGAUUUAGUUGAAGAUGUGGCUUGGCAUUUAAAGGAUGGAAAUAUAUUUGGGUCAGUUGGAGAUGACCAUAAGUUGAUGGUUUGGGACUUGCGUUCCUCUACAUCAAAACAGCCACAACAAUCUAUCAUUGCUCAUCCAAAAGAGGUCAACUAGCCUUCCACUAGAAUUUUAUCUAUAUAUGCUGUCUUCUGUUACGAGCUAUAAUUAUCUUGCUUUGCACGAUGCAUUUGUUUGUACUACACAUAUUGCAUUCUAUCUCUUUGCUUCCUUUAGAAGAAAUAUCAUCUUUCUGGCUUACCUGAGUUGUGAUAUCCUUUAUCUGUGUUCUUGUAAGUUUUUACUGUUUUGAAAUAUUUAAUAUUUAGUUAUGCAAGUCACUAAGUACCCAAAUCAGCUAGCUUUGUUCCUAUGCAUGAGUUAACACAGGAAUCAUGUCAAUAUGAUUAUCGAUAAGCUACUGUUGCCCCUUUUAGCUUGUGCAAAUUUCUCAUGCUUACCAAUUGAUAUAAUUGUGGUUUGCCAGGAGAUCUUCAAGGGCUCUUUGAGCAUUCAAACCCAAGUUAUUGGUUCAAUGCUCUAGGUUAUGUGGCCGAGAAGCUAACUAGGCACAUGAGAACGAAGGAACCAAGAUCAGGCGCAUCAAAAGAAAGAUUUAAAUGUUGAAGAUUUGUUAGGAAGAUUUGAUUUCGAGAGCAAGUCGCUGGAAGAAGAUGAUUUGCAUGGAUUAACUAACAAGAUUAAAUAGCUAUCAUAAAAAAACAUGAAUUGAACAUCUCUCAUAGCUUUAAAAACCCGUGUUUUGCACCUAAAGCUAGCUAUAGUAGCGUGAUAGAAACUCUAAACUAGCUAAGCUAAGUACGUACACAAUAGCGUGGGAGGAGCCUUGUACGUUUAACUAAUAUUGUACAAAGAAGAAGGACAGGCAAAGCUUGAUAUUGGUAGGGAGUGCGUUUGUGUUACUUUAAGAAGUUGAUAAAUGAGAGUGAUGGAAAAAGAGUCAUAGGUCUAUUCAAAUUCUACCUUCAGGGGUCCACAACUUUUAAUUAUGUUUGCGGAGGUCUAUCUUGAAACGAAUCAAAUCAUUCUUUUGCCCUUCUCGAUUGUUCGUUUUUUAUGCUAAUUGUUGUCUAUAUCCUCAAGUGCGACAGCUAGCAAGUCCUUCUAGUUCAAGGCUAAACUGUUUUUUUUGUGCACUUGCAAUAAUAACAGUUUGUGGAGAUAGCAUGUGUGCAACUUAAGAAUCUUCAUAUACACAAUUUGAAACAGAAAGAGAGUUAGAGUUUGACUUAGACUUAGUUGGCAAUUUGUUGAGGUGCAUUGCCAGUACACACAUAUGUAAGAUAUUAGUUAUACAGUUAGACUUUCUUAGUUAUCUGUGUUUGCUAGAAACCCUCUGCUUUUCUUUAUAUGUUUGCAUUUCUCCUUUGUUCAUGUUCAUGAACAGAAAAGAUGGAACUAACAGCUUUUCUUCUCCCAGGUCAACUCCAUAUCCUUCAGCCCAUUUAAUGAGUGGAUCCUGGCUACAGCAUCUGCUGAUACAACUAUUAAACUAUUUGACUUGCGAAAGCUAGCAACAAGUUUGCAUACCUUUUCCAGCCACACGUACGUGCUUUCCUUUGACAACAUAGUCGAAUAAUUUUAGUCUACUUUUUUCUUUUGAAUUAUCUUUUACCUCCAAUUUUAAAAUUAGUCUAACCUGUUAAAGUUUUUGCCUACUAUGAGAUUCUUUGGUUGUAUCUCUCUUGUUUGAAUGAUGUCUGUAAGGUUUUUACAAAAUAGACAUGUAUGGUGUAAACCUAGAUUUAAUGACUAACGUACCUUUUAGUUCUCUUAGAAAUGAUGAUGAGAGAUAAAAACCUUGCAACAAGAAGUGUAAUGAAAAUGGAUUGAAAGCAAAAUUUUUUAAAUGCUUCCGUUGAGGGAGAAAGGCCAAUUCAAAUGCUCGAAGCAUCUGCAUGCUGGUUAUGAAAACUUUUGCAGACUUAAAAAGUUUCAAAGCAUAAAGAAAGUGCGUACUAUUUACAUUUGAUACUACUAUCUUUUGGGAACUGAUUACUUAUGAUUCUCAUGGUAAUUGGAGCAAAACUUUGUUUACGCCAUGCUUGGGUUCGAAGAAUCAAAUUUUAGAUCUCAACGGCAUUUCUUUUAUUUGGUGCAGGUGAUAUAUUAAGUUAAUACAUUCUUCUUUUAGAUGGUAUCCAAGUCCUUAUUAAAAUCAUAUAUGGCUGCAUUUGAGAUUGUCAAUCUGAUGUCAAUUAUAGGAAUGCUGGUUUAAGAAUUUCUGUGCCUAUUGCUGUAUAUGAUGUUUUUUAUUGUAUUAUUCCAGGGAAUCUUAUUAUGUGAUUUAAUGCUAUUGGUUUCCACUGUCUUUCACUGUUGUACUGAGAAUCAAUGAUUGAACAUGGUUUAACAGGGCGGAGGUGCUUCAGGUUGAAUGGAGCCCUAAUCAUGAAACUGUUUUAGCUUCUUCUAGUGCCGAUAGAAGAGUGAUGGUCUGGGACCUUUCCAGGUAUACAUAACUCCGAAGUAAAUGCUUGUUGUAUUUUUUUUUUUUUUAGCUAAAAUUGAUGGAUGUAUAACUUUAGAGCAGAAAAAUCCCAUCAUUCAGCAGGGAUUUUUCUCUUUAAUGCACAAAGGAUGAUAGCUACAUAUAACGAAAUGAAGUUUUCUUUAUAGUACUAAAAGCGAUGCAUUUUGGUAUUGUAGAUGGUAGAUGGGGUCAAUUUUAAGAAAUUUUAGUAUAAGGCAACAGUUUUCCGAAUGAAAGCAUAGUAAUAGUAAAUUAACUUCUACAAAAACUGUAUUAAGCACGGCAUUUUAUGGUUGCAUUGGAAGUUGAAGUUGAUACUACUACAUGGGAUUUGCAGCUAAAGAUUUUCUAGCAAGCUUGUCCUCUUCUUCACCCACUCCAACUAUUAGAUGCUCUAUUUUCCCCUUAAUUAGGCUGAUAAAAUGGUAAAAAAUGAAGUACCUUAGAACUGCUGCGUCGUUAGAUAAAAAGCUUUCCCAACUAGCCUAGCAGAAGUCAAUUGUGAUAUUCAUGUAGUUUAACAAUGCUUCAUCCACCGACAUCUAUGCAUGUGUAUACAUACUUUCGACAACUAUAUAUUUCAAAAUAAAGAUGCAUAUUUAUAUAACAAUCACGUCUGACUAGACAUUCUUUGUUUGUGACAACAACCUCGACAUAUCUCCUCCUCUAGUAUCUUGUUCAAGUCCACUUGUGUAUGAUAUCCUGUGGCGUUUCUUAAAGGAAAUGUCUGCCUUCAUUUGACUACUGUCGUGACCAAUUCACAUCACAUCUCUGAUCUUGACAUGUUAUCUGUAUGCGUAAUCCUUUCAGGAUUGGGGACGAACAGUCAGAAGAAGAUGCAGAUGAUGGGCCGCCUGAACUUCUGUUCGCUCAUGGGGGCCACAGAGCCAACAUCACGGAGUUCUCAUGGAACCCUGACGAGCAAUGGGUCAUCGCCAGCGUGGCGGAGGACAACAGCCUCCAGAUCUGGCAGAUAGCGGAGAGCAUAUUUCGUGACGAUCACAAUAUGCAGGACGGUGAUGAUUUAUGUGCUACCGCUUAAAGCUUCUCUGUGCAAUUUAGCUGUUCUUUUAACUCCAAUGAGAAAUUUGGAUAGCAUUGCAACAUGCUUCAGUAAAACUUACAUUUCUCUGCUUGAUCUUUAUCAGAGUUGAUUUCAUGCUCAGGUUAACUAUUUUGAGCUGAUGGAAAGUUUAAAUAUGUUCUAUAUGAGAUAUUAUUCUUUGUGUGGUUUAUUUUGGGGAAAACUUCAGAUACCUCCUUGUAGUUUCCUGUGUUUUCAUUUCGGUACUUUGUGGUUUUGACUGUAUUACUUAACUUCCCUCUGACUUAAUUUUCGUAUUUUGAUUACACCCUCUGUUAACUUUUUCGUUAAAACAAUCACGUGCUGCGCACACGUAUCGUAGAUUGUCCUUUUUUUCGCCCAUUAGAGGCUCACAAAUAACGAUCAGGAUUAAGCCGUAAGGGCUCUUAUGCCUUUUUUAUCGACCUUUGCGAGACAUUUUUGAUACAUGCGCAUGGCACAUGGCGGGUGUAACGGAGAAGUUAAUGGAGGGCGUAAUGAAAGCAAAAAUAAAAAUAACAGAAUUUACUUACGGGGAGGGUAUAAUGGACAAUGAAAAUAGAAAUGACAGAUUAGUUGAGUUAUACACGUUAAAAUCAUAUGGUACUAAAGUAGAAAAGCGGUAAACCACAAAGUUUAUCUAAAGAUUUUCCUUAUUUUUGACUUUGUUUGAAGCUCUGGUAUAGACAUGUUCAUUAUUUGUUGCAUAAUUCUUUUGUUUGUAUUGUAGCUUCCAAAGCUAAGCAAUCGUCGGAAAGGAGCUAACACUAGGGAACCAUUGUCAGGUUAAUUCACAAGAAACCUGUAGAAUUUGGUAAUUAAUAUACAUAUGUGAUAAAAUAAUAAUAAUAAUAAUAAUAAUAAUAAUAAUAAUAAUAAAAGUUGAAGUUACUUUCAUUCAUUGUAAGAGAUACAAGAUUUACCGAUAAUAGUUCAAAACGAUUCGUGUAAUCAGGCUACUAGCGUAUGUAAAUUUACACGAUGUCUUGGACUAAAGACCCGACAAACGUGGCGUUUGGGCAACCUAAAGGUGGGUCAGCAUACCUGCAUGUUACGUGAGCGUGGGUGUAAUUUAUUUGUAAAUUUUUAAAUAGCAAACAUUCUUAUCCAUAUCUGCUCACCCACUGCGAGCAGGCAGUUGUGCAGAUUAGCUCCAUAGCCUAACUAUUUUAAAACAUCACAAUAUACCCAAAAAAAAAAAAAAAAAAAAAAACUUGGUCUUAAAACCCAUUGACUACAUACUACAAGACUAUUCAAUCAUUUUAAAUAAAGAUUUCACGAUAAUAGAAUGAAUAUCAUAAAGAUGAACUACUUCAAUUGGGAGAGGCCCAUGGGACAACAGAUAAAACAAAAAUAAUAUGUACUUUUUGGACAGUAUCUGCCCGUUUUACCCGCAAAUCUGCAGGUGACUCGUCUGCUCAGACUGCACAUGUAUAUGUGUAUACAAAAUCUAAAGGAAGCCUGGCUUUGUUUCAUUUCAGCAGGGCAGUAAUCUAUAAAGCUCGCAUUCUUGGCCACAAUUGGUGACCAGAAGUGACAAGGGCAUCGUUCUAAAAGUAGAACUGCAUCAGAUGCUUUGGGACAGGAAUGGAAUCUGCCUCCAUAGUAGCACCCAAAUAAGGGGACAAAAAUUUUGCGGACAUCUGACCCCAAAACAAGUGGUUUGGGGAUGGAGCCUAUGGGCGCCGCGUGGUGUGCGGGCGUCAAUCGCGACCGUCCCUUUCUCUCGCCUGCUUCUUUAUCCCUCUCUCUCUCUCUCUCUUCUUCUUUUUUUUUCUUUUUUUUUCUUUUCAUUUUCGAGGGUUGCGAUGGGCGCCCGCACAUGAUGCCCACAAAAUUUUUGUUCCAAAUAAGGGCCCGUUUGGUCACCUAGCUAUUGGAAAAAUAAUUUUUGCAGAAUUAAUUUUAGUUUGAAGAACGAAGAAAGGGAGAGACUGCUGAUAUUUAGGGAUGUUAUUGGGUAUGGAUACCCGAAAUAUUAUUCGAAUCCGAAUCCUAACGGGACGGAUUUAUUCGAGCUAAACAGGUAUGGAUUCAGUUAUGGGUAUAGAAAAUAAAAACCCGACGGAUAUGAAUACAGGUAUGGAUUUUGUAUUUACCUGAUCUGAACCUGAACCCAACCCGAACCCGAAUCCGAACCCGAAUAAAUUAUAUAUAUGCAUAAUUUAUUUUUAUUUAUUUAUAAAAUAUAUAAAAUAUUUAAUAAUUUUUAUUUUUUAGAUCUUUAUUUUUUUAAACCCGCCGGGUUCGGAUUUCGAGUUUUUGGUCGGGUACGAAUAUGGGUAUGGAUUUUUAAAAACUGCCGGGUUCGGGUCCGGAUACUGGUUUUAAUUUGGUUUUCGGGUUCGGAUUCGGAUUUUUAAAAACCCUAUCCAAACCCGACUGUUUGACAUCCUACUGGUAUUGGACGUAUCUGAUUGGAUCAUUCUGAAAAUUUUGCACAAAACCAAAAAAAAAAAGUAAAAUGUAUAGGAAACCUUAAUCUUUAACUCUGUUUUGCACAAAGGGGUCGAACUUUUAAUUUUAGUAAUUAUAUUUUUUGAACUUUAUUACACAGUUCAAUACGCCCCUCUCCUCCUUACUAAUUAUGCUGCAAUUUUGAUCCGAUGUAGUUUAUAUAAUUUUGUAGGACCUCAAAAAUACAAAGAAAUUUGUUUUUUUCUUUGAGUCUUGAUAAUCAAGUUUGGCGAUUAAAGAAAUGGCUGAUUCAUACGCGAUUUUUUUUUUUUUUUUUUGAGAAAUCAUAUGCGAAUUUUUUAUUGCAUUCUUUUGUAUGUUUGAACACAAUAUAAUGAAUAUAUACUUUGGACAAGACCUGGCAAAUGGGCCGCUUAAGUAACUAGCGGGCGGGUCAUUGUAUCCGCUGAUUACUUGGGCAUGGAUAAAAUUUAUCCGUAAAUUUUUGGAUAGCCAAUAUAUUUACCCAUAAUUCACCCGCGGGUUAGUGGGUGGGUAUGCAAGUUAUCCGCAAUUUUUUGACUUUUACGCUCUCAUAUUUUUAAAUACAACACACAUAUUUAUAAGUUUUAAAAGCGUCACUGAACUCAUUAUUUAAAAUAUUAUAAUAUACAAUAAAAAUAUUUAAAAUCUUAAAGCAAAAAAAAUUUCUUAAUAUAAAAGACAUGGGAUAAGAAAUUAGGGUUAAAAAUUUUAGGAUGAAUAAGUAAAAAUAGGCCAAUUUGCAUAAAAAAUUUAUUAGUUUUGAGAUUUUGCAAAAGUAGGCCGCCUUUUUAAAUUUUGCAGAUUCGGGCCAGAUUUUCAGAAAACUAACCAAAAUAACUUUAUUCCCUUUUCUCUUUCCUUUUUUUUCUCUUGUUCCUUUUGUUUUUUUUUAUUUCUCUCCGAAAAAGUCGGCGGAAGCGGAGGCGACCGCCUCGCCUCUGUCCCAAGCGCUCUCGCCCUUGCCCGCGCACCCUCCGGCCUUCCUCGCCUUCGGCCCUGCCGAGGCCGUGCCGUUACCCUCCUCUUUUUUUCUCUCCGACCCUCCUUCACUACCUUUUCGAUUCUUUAAAACAGUAAAGAUGACAAUGCCACGUGCUCUUUCUCUCCNUUUUUUUUCUCUCGUUCUUUUUUCUUUUCCUCUUUGACCUACCUCCACCGUCUCUGCGACCUUCCACGACAAUAAUAAGAACAGCAUCGCAUCCUCUUCCUCCGCCUUCGCCGGUGCUGGCACCGACUCCGGCGCUGGAGAAGGAGAACUCGGAGCGAGUGCGGGUGAGAGCGGUGCUGAGAAAACAAGAUGCAGAAAAUAAAAAAAAAAUAAUAAAACAUAAAGAAAAUAUAGAAUUAAAGAGAAAAGAAGAAAAUGAUGAAGUUGCACUAUUUUAAGAGAAUGUUGUACUGCUUCAGAAGAACGUUGCAUUAUUUUAGAAAAAACUUACACUCUUUAAGAAAAAAUUAUACUUUUUUGGACAAAAGUUGCUCUCUUUAAACGAAAGUUGCACUCUUUGGACAAAAAUUAUAUUGUUUUUCCUCUUCCUCCUCUUUUUCUCCUUUCUCUUCGUUUUCAUGUGCUUCUUCUACGCUCAUGUCUUCUUCGUCCUCCACCUCUGUCGGUAGAUUCUCCGCCCAUCUUUUUCCAACUCUUUCUUUUUUUCCCUCUUCGGCGGUGUAGGAGGGUCGGAAAGAAAAAAGAAAGAGGGUCAUGAUGCGGCCUCAGCGGGGUUGGAGGCGAGGAGGGCAAGGCGUGCAUGAGAAGGGCGGGGUGGCGCGGCCUCGAUGGGGUUAGAGGCGAGGAGGGCGGGGUGGCACGACUUUGGCGAGUGUGGAGGAUCUGCCGAUGGAGGUGUAGGGCGAAGAAGAGAUGGACGAAAAAAAAAACACACGAAAAGGAAGAUGAAGAAGAAGAAAGAUGAGGAAGAAAAGAAAUAGUAUAAGUUUUAUCCAAAAAGUACAACUUUCGUUCAAAGAGUGCAACUUUUAUUCAAAAAGUGUAACUUUCGUUCAAAAAAGUAUAAUUUUUUUCUUAAAGAAUAUAAGAUUUUUUUUAAAAUAAUGCAACAUUUUUCUAAAACAGUACAGUAUUUCUUUGAAACAGUGCAACAUUUUUUUGAAACAGUGCAACUUCAACUUCUUCUCUUUUCUUUGAUUCUUUAUUUUUUUAGAAAAAAAUAUUUUUUUAUAUUUUAUUUUUUUGCAUCUUUUUUUCUCAACUCCGCUCUCACUCACACUCGCUCCGAGCUCUCCUUCUCCAGCGCAGGCGUCGUUGUUGGUGCCGGUGAAGACGGAGGAAGAAAAUGUGCCGCUGUCUAUAUUACCGUCGUGAAGGAUCGCAGGGGCGGUGGAGGGAGGUCGAAGAGAAAAAAAAGAACGAGAGAUAAAAAGGAUGGAAAGAGGACGUGACGUUGCCCUCUUUACUGUUGUAAAGAAUCGGGGAGGCGGUGGAGGAGGGUCGGAGAGAAAAAAAAAGAGGGUCGCGGUGCAGCCUUGGCAGAGUUGGAGGCGAGGAAGGUGGAGGGAGGGUGUGUAACGAACUGACCCACUAGCAAUAAUAACUCCUUGGGCCCACUCAUCCAAAAUGCUUAAGCUCAAUUAUUAUUAGUAGGGUGGAAUUCUCUUAUAUACCUAAUGAAUAUUUGGAUGUCACAGACUUCCCCCAUUUAGAUUCUAACGUUCUCGUUAGCCCUAUACACAUACAAAGCCCAAGAUCACCGGGCGAUGUGAGACUUGUCUCACUAGCCUUUGUCAUUCUGAUCUUGACUUAAUCUGACAAUCACCGACCCUGACUUAAUCUGUCAUUUCGACCAUGGCUCGGCCAAAACUCAUUUCACACUUCCGACUGGUGAACUGACUCUGAUACCAAAUGUAACGAUCUGACCUACUACCAAGAAUAACUCGUUGGGUCCAAACCACCUGCCCAAAAUGCUUAAGCCCGGUUAUUAAUACUACAGUGAAGUUCUCUUUUAUAUAUAUAUAUAUAUAUAUAUAUAUAUAUAUAUAAUUGAGCUAGAAUACUUUUAAAAGUAUCAUCCCCUUGGUGCUAUAGGUUUUUAGCCCUUGGAUCUACUCAUUGAUUACUAAUAGCCUUUAGAUCAAACACUAUUUCACCUACCACCACCUACCACCAUCAUCCUUGCUUAAAAGGUGCCCCUGGUGUUGGGCGCCGACCACUCAUCGUGUUACAGGAUUUUGUAAUACCGGUGCCCAUUACAGGCCCUUGUAGACUGUUACAGGUUGUUCAUUACGAGUCAAUAAUUACCCUAUUCGCAAUAUUUCAUUAGAGGCCGUGAUUGCGACAAAUAAUGCAUCUAAAUGAGCAGCACUACUGCAACUAUUUGGUCCAAUACUUGUUAGGACCUGCGUCAUCUUGUCAAGUCGCUUGAACCAAUUUGGCUCUUGUUGUCAGAUUGACCACUAGUCUCACCUUCAACAGUAAGACUGCUUGGCCUUCGCCUGCAUUAUCGGAAUUACUGGCUUGAUCGUUCCCUGAAUUUGAGGAACGACCCCUAUUGGUAAGUUAAGCAUUAUCAUCUGCCAUUAGUCUUAUAAUAAGAAAUUUACCUACAAUAUUGUCCACCGAGCGUGCCAAAAAUUGUUAGGAGCCAAAUUCCCUGAUCCUUGACUGGUCAAUCUGACCGAGCGUGCCAAAAAUUGUUAGGAGACUGUUAAUCAAGACCAGAGUAUAGAUCUUGUUUUAAAAUAGUUUAAAGAACUUUCUAACAAAAAUUCAAUUGAUUUGGAUACUCUUUACGCCGUUAAACGAGAAAACGCCUCAUAUCGACCAUUAAAAUUACAAAUUUUGAAACCCUUUAUCAUUAGCCAAAUGAUAUCGAAAAGAGUUUGAAAUUUGAUUUCUAAACACUUCAAGUGGUAUAGAUCAUGUUCAACGGUGCCAAUCGUCGAUUUGGAACUCUAUCAUCAAAAUAAAUAGUGAUGCCUACGGAAGCUCGUUUGUUAUCGAUAGGAUUCGAGCUCAACUAUAUAUAUAUAUAAGAGUUGAGCUGGAAUGCUAUCAGUAGCAAACGGGCUCCGUUGCCACCCAUUGUUUUCGAUGAUGGAGCCCUCAAAUCAACGAUCGGCACCGUUGAACAGUUGAUCAUAACCUUGAAGUAUCUAGAAUUAAAUUUCAAAUAUUUUGCGAUAUCAUUGACCUAAUGAUCAAAGGUUUCAAAAUUUGUAAUUUUAAUGGUCGAUUGAGGUGUUUUUUUGAUUAACAGUGUAAAACUAUCCAAAAUCAAUGAAUUUUGGUUAGAAAAUUCUUUACACUAUUUAGAAUAAGAUCUAACUUCGAUCUUGAUUACAAAAUUUCUAUCAUCACUUUUUAGAGGAUAUUCAUAUUUCAGUCGUUCAUUUUUACGGCCCACUGAAUGAACAAGAGAACAAUAUUGUAAAAACAUGAAAAUUGAUUUUCUAGAUACUUCAAGUGGUAUAGAUCAUUUUCAAGCGGUACCGAUCGUCCGAUUUGAGGCUCCAUCAUCGAAAACAAAUGGGUGGCAAUGGAGCCCGUUUCUACCGAUAGUAUUCCAGCUCAACUCUAUAUAUAUAUAUAGUAUAUAUAUAUAUAUAAUAUCUAUAUAUAUAUGGCUAAAUUACAUAAAAUCUCCCUGUCAAAACUUGAUUUUUCACUUCCCCCCCUAUCAAUUUAAAAACCUACACUUUGCCCCUUGUAAAAUAAAAAAAAUGUUCACUUCGCCCUCUGUUCGUUAGUAAAUCGUUAGGGUUCCGUUUAUAAAUAUUAUUUAUUUUUUUAAUGCCAAAAAUGCCCUCACCUUCCUUCUGUGAACCUGAUGAGGGGCAAAAUGGUGAGAGGCAAAAUGGUCAUUUAUUCAUCACAGUUCACACCGUACCCCAUUGAAGAUUUUUUAUUUAUUAGGGGGCAAAAUGUAGGUUUUUAAAUGACAGGAGGAAAAGUGAAAAAACGGGUUUUGACAGGGAGGUUUCUGUAAUUAGCUAAUAUAUAUCAAUAUAUAUAUAAUUGAGCUCCUAUUGCUUUUAAAAGUAUCAAAUCAUUGGUGCUUCAAGUUUUGGCCCUCUGAUUAAGGAUGUGCGGUUAGGAUGAUGUGGGCCCCUAGGCGUUGAGUGGGUGUUGGUUUAAUAGUUAAUAAUCUAACAGGUAAAAUGAUCAAAGGCAGAUAUCUAACGGUAAAAAUUUAUAAGCACCAAGUGCUUGCUACUUUUAAAAGCACUAUAGCCGGAGCUAUAUAUAUAUAUAUAUAUAGUUCAGUUAUGAUGCUUGUAAGUACCAGCACUAGGUGCUUAAAUUUUUUAGCGUUAGAUUAUACUAUUCAACACAACCACCCAUCAACCUAGGGGCCACAUCAUCCUAACCGCACAUUUUUAAUCUAAGGGCCGAAAACUUACACAGCAAAUGACUUGUACUUUUAAAAGUAUAGGAGCUCAAUUUUAUAUAUAUAUAUAUAUAUUAUAUAUACUAUAUAUAAGAUAUCAUAUAUAUAUAAUAUAUAAAACUAGGCUACUAUACUAUCGGUAGCAAGGAGCGCUCCGUGCUACCGAGUUGUUUCGAUGAUGCGGCUUCUAAAUCGACGAUCGGCUCCGUUAGACUGAUCUACCUAUGGAAAGUAUUUAGAAACUAAAUUUCAUAAUUUUUCGAUAUUAUUUGCCUAUCAAACAAAGUUCUAAAAUUGAACGGCUGAAAAUAAAAAAUUCUCAUGAGAAAUAAUGAUAAAAGAUUUAAAUUCAAGAUCAGAUAUACCUGAUCUUAUCUAAAUAGUGAAAAGAAUUUUCUAUAAAAUUUUCAUCGCAUUUGGAUUGUUUUACACCGUUAAACUCACAAACACACCACAUCGACCAUUAAAUUGUCAAAUUUGAGAUCAUUUGAUCACUAUCAAAUAAUGUCGAAAAAUCUGAAAUUUAGUUUCCAAAUACUUUCAAUAGUGUAGAUCAAUCCUAACGGAGCCGAUCUGUCGAUUGGAAGCGCGAUUAUCGAAAACAACUUGGUAGCACGGAGUCUCCGUGCUACCGAUAGCAUAGUAGCCGACUCUAUAUAUAGUAUUAUAUAUAGUGAGGCUACUAUGCUAUCGGAAGCACGGACCUUCCGUGCUUCCAGCUCCGUUUUCGAUGUGCGACUUUCGAAUCGUCGAUCGGCUCCGUUAAACUUGAUCUAGAGUAUUUGGAGUACCUAGAAAAUAAAUUUUAUUAUUUUUGAUAUCAUUUGCCUAGGAUCGAAUGUGCUCAAAAUCAACAAAUUCAAAGCCGCAAUGAGCUGUUUGCAAGUUUAACGGUGUAGAAAUAUCAAAUCACGGAAAUUUUGAUAGAAAUUCUUUAUACUAUAUAAAACAAGAUCAAUAUUUUUGAUUUAAAAUUUUAAUGCAUAUUAUAAUUUUGUAAGAUUUUUAUUUUCAGCCGUUGAUUUUGAGCCCUUUCGUUCACUAGCAAAUGAUAUCGUAAAAAUCAUAAAAUUUAUUUUCUAGGUACUUCAAAUACUCUAGAUCAAGUUUAACGGAGCCGCGAUGACGAUUCGAAAGUCGCAACAUCGAAAAACGACUGGAAGCACGGAAGGUCCGUGCUUCCGAUUAGCAUAGUACCUCACUCUAUAUAUAUAUAUAUAUAUAUAAUUAGAUAUAGUAGUAUUAUAUAAGAUAUAUAUAUAUAUAUAUAUAUAUAUAUAGUAGAGCUAGAAUACUUGUAAAAGUAUCAUGGGGUGAGUACUUGUGUGUUUUUUAGCCCUUGGAUGGAGAGAUGUGAGGUUGAGACGAUGGUAGUAGGUGGUGGUAGGUGGUGGUAGGUGGAAUAGUGUUUAAUCCAAGGGCUAUUAAUAACAAAAAAUAGAUCCAAUGGCUAUAAAACGUAAUAGCACCAUGAUGUGCAUACUUGUAAAGUACAUAGCUCAACUCGAUAUAAUAUAUAUGAGCUAGGCUGGUACACUAUCAGUAGCACGGAGGCCUCCGUGCUACAAGUUGUUUUCAAUCAUGCGGCUUCCAAAUCGAUGAUCGUUCCGUUAGACUUGAUCUAUACUAUUGAAAGUAUUUGAAAACUAAAUUUCAUAAUUUUAUAACAUUCAUUUGUUAGUCAUCAAAGUGAGAAAAUGACAAUUUAAUGAUAGAUUGAUGUGUUUGUGAAUUUAACGGCUGUAAAACAAUCCAAAUUUGAAGAAAUUUUUAUGACUAAAAUUCGAUAAAAUCGCCUAUCAAAAUCCGAUUUUUCACCUUCCCCCUCUUGUCCAUUUUUCGAUAUCAUUUACCUAUCAAACAAGUAGUCUAAAAUUGAACGGCUGAAAAUAAAAAUCUCAUGAAAAAUGAUGAUAAAAGAUUUAAAUUCAAGAUCAGAUAUAUUGAUCUUACUCUAAAUAGUGAAAAGAAUUUUCUAUAAAAUUUUCAUCAUAUUUGGAUUGUUUUACACCGUUAAACUCACAAACACACCACAUUGGCCAUUAAAAUUGUCAAUUUUGAGAUCUUUUGAUCACUAGUCAAAUGAUGUCGAAAAAAUCUGAAAUUUAGUUUCCAAAUACUUUCAAUAGUGUAGAUCAAAUUUAACGGAGCUGAUCGUCGAUUUGAAAGCCGCAUCAUCGAAAACAACUUGGUAGCACGGAGCGCUUCGUACUACCGAUAGCAUAGUAGCCAGACUCUCUCUCUAUAUAUACAUAUAUAUAUAUAUGUAUAUAUGAGCUAGGUUGGUAUACUAUCGGUAGCACGGAGGCAUCCGUGCUACCAAGCUGUUCUCAAUGAUGUGGUCUCCAAAUCGACGAUCGGCUCCAUUAAAUUCGAUCUACACUAUUGAAAGUAUUUGGAAAUUAAAUUUCAAAAUUUUUCGAUAUCAUUUGGCUAGUGAUCAAAAGGUCUCAGAAUUGACAAUUUUAAUAGUAGAUGUGAUGCGUUUGUGAAUUUAACAGUAUAAAACAAUCCAAAUCUUAAGAAAUUUUUAUAAUUUUUUUUUUUCACCAUUUAGAGUUGUUAGGAGCCGAAUUCCCUGAUCUUUGACCUUGUCAAAGAUCUCCCUCGGGAAGAGUAUAGGGAUGUGGAACGGCUAUGAACAAUGACCCUCGAAGUUUGCACCCUUCGACUGGAUCAAGUGAUUCGACCGUUAAGGGAUCGGAUCAGGCGAGUUCGACAAUCUUUACUGAGUUCGACAAUCUUUACUAUUGACUUGGUUCGGCUGAAAGAGCUGAAUGUACGGAAUAUAGUGUUUUGGGUCGGCUGAAGAGCCGAAUUUCUUUAUAUAUUAGAUUGGAAUCAGAAGCUCAUACAAACAAGAGUGUGCCCGUAAGGCAUACAGACUCUGAAAAUCUAAAUUAAAAACUACUCCUAAGAAAGACAGUAAAUGUGAGAAAAGAAAAUAUUACAAGUAAAACUACUCAUAGAAAAACGAUAAAUGCAGAAAGUAAAAAUAUUGAAAAUACAGUGGUCUUCUCGUUCGUGGGAGAGAAAGACCCCUAUUACAGGCUUCGAAGUUACUAUUUAUAGUGAUGUCUUCUCAGUCCACAUUAUUGGUCGGUUUUUAGUAGUGGGGGAAUGGCGUAACCAUGAUCGUGAAAGUUACGCCCAAUUUCUCAACCAUUCCGGCCUAAUUUUUUAGCAUCAACAAUGCCCCUCCCCAAAAUUUUUCGAAUGAACAUUCGGAUGACUAUUGAUGCCAAAUCAAUUACUUAAUGACACAGUCGAGACCCGAGCUUUAGUUUCGCUGAUCUUGGUCGGCUUAAAAAAAAUGACUCUUUAUAAUCCCAGUCGUAUAUAUCUCGGUUUAAUCAGCCGAUUCUUCACUUUCACUCGAUUGGCUCGGCUCUUCUUAAACCGACUGUUCUUCUAUCAAAGAUUUCUCUUUGCCUUUGCUUUGAUUCUUAUAUCGGCUCCACUGCAGCCGAUCGUCAUUAUUUUCUUUUCUAAAUUGCUUAUAUUGAGCAAGCCGAACUCCCAAAUCAAAAAGAUUUGAAAAAUACUUGUCUUCAAAAUGAUCUUUAAUUUUGAAGUAUAGGUUAUUAAAUGUCAUUUUGGCAAACUCCGAUUCUGGCAUUCUUACAAAACAAUGACUCCUUCCCGUCUUGAACCGGUUCAGAAAUUCUUCAACCGAUUCUCCUGUUCUUUGUUUGAAUUGAGUUAGAUCAGUAACCGAAAGCUCUGGCUCUGAUCUAUAAAAUUGCUCAUGAAAUUUUCUUUCCAAUUCGUCCCAAUAUCGGACGGAAUUGGCUGGUAAACUUGUAUACCAAGUAAAUGUUGUCUUGGUUAACGAGGUAUUAAAGAACCUAAGCUUUAGGAAAGGAUUGCAGCAGCUUCUCGGCAUUGAGCCGUAAAUUGUGCGACGUGUUCUACCAUAUUUUCGGUUUCGUCGCCAGAAAAUUUAUAAAAUUUCGGCAUUUUUCAAUUUGCCGGAUAAGGAUAUUCUAUAUCUAUAUUUGCAUGAUAGGGCGAUCUAAACACAGGCCGCAUUGCCGGCUUAGCUCCAACUUCGAACGUAUUUCAAAUGGCUUCUUCAAUUUGAGCAUAAAUUUUAUUGUUGUUCCUUUGUAAAGGUACAUGCACCUGUGCGUGAACUGGAUUCGGUCCUUGUGGUAGUCCGAAAUUCUGCGCCACAGGGUUAACCCCUUGUAUAUUGAGGCUUGCCCCCAAGCCCUAGGCCCCGCAUUUUGGGGCUGAUAUGCUGCUAUUGGUGGGGGAGGUGGUAACCCCGAGGCUAUUUCCGGCUGUUGAUCGUUAUUUACAGCAGCCGACCUAUAAAUUGCUUGAAAAGGUGCCCCCUGGUGUUGCGGCUGACCACUCACCGGUGUUACAGAAUUUUGUAAUACCGGUACCACUACAGGCCCUUGUAGACCUGUUACAGGUUGUUCAUUACGAGUCAAUAAUUACCCUAUUCGGGCAAUAUUCUCAUUAGAGGCCGUGAUUGCGACCAAUAAUGCAUCUAAAUGAGCAGUACUACUGUAACUAUUUUGGUCCAAUACUUGUAGGACCUGCGUCAUUUGUCCAAGCGCUUGAGCCAAAUUUGGCUCUUAUUGGUCAGAUUGACCACUAGUCUCACCUUCAACAGGUAAGACUGCUUGGCCUUCGCCUGCAUUAUUGAAAUUACUAGUUUGAUCGUUCCCUGAAUUUCGAGGAACGACCCUAUUGCGUAAGUUCAUAGUAUUAUCAUCUGCCAUUAGGUCUUAUAAGAUAAGAAAUUUACCUACAAUAUUGUCCCACCAAGCGUGCCAAAAAUUGUUAGAAGCCAAAUUCCCUGAUCCUUGACCUGGUCAAUCUGACCGAGCGUGCCAAAAAUUGUUAGGAGACUUGUAAUCAAGAUCAAGAGUAUAGAUCUUGUUUUAAAUAGUUUAAAGAAUUUUCUAACAAAAAUUCAAUUGAUUUGGAUAUCUUUACGCCGUUAAACGAGAAAACGCCUCAUAUCGACCAUUAAAAUUACAAAUUUUGAAACCCUUUGAUCAUUAGGCAAAUGAUAUCGAAAGAUUUGAAAUUUGAUUUCUAAACACUUCAAGUGGUAUAGAUCAUGUUCAACGGUGCCAAUCGUCGAUUUGGAGACUCUAUCAUCAAAAAUAAAUGAGUGGCAACGGAGCUCGUUUGUUAUCGAUAGGAUUCUAGCUCAACUAUAUAUAUAUAUAGAGUUGAGCUGGAAUGCUAUCGGUAGCAAACGGGCUCCGUUGCCACCCAUUUGUUUUCGAUGAUGGAGCCCUCAAAUCGACGAUCGGCACCAUUGAACAUGAUCUAUAUCACUUGAAGUAUCUAGAAAUUAAAUUUCAAAUAUUUUCGAUAUCAUUGACCUAAUGAUCAAAGGGUUUCAAAAUUUGUAAUUUUAAUGGUUGAUGUGAGGUGUUUUUUUGUUUAACAGUGUAAAGCUAUCCAAAUCAAUUGAAUUUUGGUUAGAAAAUUCUUUACACUAUUUAGAACAAGAUCUACACUUUCGAUCUUGAUUACAAAAUUUCUAUCAUCACUUUUUAGAGGAUAUUCAUUUUCAGCCGUUCAUUUUUACGCCCACUUGAUGAACAAGAGAACAAUAUCGUAAAAACAUGAAAAUUGAUUUCUAGAUACUUCAAGUGGUAUAGAUCAUUUUCAACGGUACCGAUCGUCGAUUUGGAGGCUCCAUCAUCGAAAAUAAAUGGGUGGCAACGAAGCCCGUUUGCCACCGAUAGUAUUCCAGCUCAACUCUAUAUAUAUAUAUAUAUAUAUAUAUAUAGCUAAAUUAUAUAAAACCUCCCUGUCAAAACUUGAUUUUUCACUUCCCCCCUAUCAUUUAAAAACCUACACUUUGCCUCCUUGUAAAAUAAAAAAAAUAUUCACUUCGUCCUCUGUCGUUAGUAAUCCGUUAGGAUUCCGUUUAUAAAUAUUAUUAUAUUUUUUUAUGCCAAAAAUGCCCUCAGCCUUCUCUCCUGUGAACCUGAUGAGGGGCAAAAUGGUGAGAGGCAAAAUGGUCAUUUUAUCAUCACGUUACACGUAGCCUAUGAGAUUUUUAUUUUUAUUAAGGAGGCAAAAUGUUAGAUUUUUAAAUACAGGAGAAAGUUGAAAAAACGGGUGUUGGACAGGGAGGUUUUUCUGCUAAUUUAAUAUUAUUAUAUAUAUAUAGUAUAUAUAUAUAUUAUAUUAUAUAUGUAUUUAUAUUAUAUAAUUAUGAUAUAUAUCUAUAUAUAGUAUAUUGUAAUUGGCUCUUGAUUUUUAAAGUACCAAAUCAUUGUGUGCUUGCCAAUUUUCGGACUUGGAUUAAGGAUGGUGCUUGUUAGGAUGAUGUGGGCGCCUAGGGUUCAGAUGUGAGGUGGUGUGGGAUUUAAUGUAUAACUCUAGGGCGCUGGUGUAUAACUGAAUCAAGGAGGCAUAUUAUCUAGACGGUAAAUAUAUGUGUAUAGGACCAAGUGCUUGCUACUUUAAAGGCACCAAUAGCCGGACGGUAUAUAUAUACUAUAUAUGUUCAGUUUAUGGUGCUUUCGUAAAGUACAGCCUAGAGUGAGCUUUGUAAAUUUUUUUUACGUAGAUUAUACUAUUCACACAGACCACGUGCACGGUCACCCGUAGGGGGCCCACAUUUUUGGCUAGCCUGCGUAUUUUUUAAUCUAAGGGCGAACAAUUACAGCCACCAAUGAACUUGUUGUACUUUUAAAGUGUUAUAGGAGCUCAAUGUACUAUAUUAUAGGAGUGAGGCUUGACUAUGCUAUCGGAAGACGAGCCUCCGCGUCGGCUGCUUAGUCUGCUUGUUCUCGGAUGUAUGAGCGGAUCUUUAUCGGAAUCGAUUGUCGAUCUGGCUCGUUGGGAAACUUUGAUCUAGGAGUAUUUUGAUUACCUAGGAAUAAUUUUUUAUUAUUUUUCGAUAUAAUAUUGCUAGUGAUCGAAUGGCACGAAGAAAUAACAAAUUUCAAAGGUCGUAGUGAGCUUGUUUGCAUUAUUUGUACAGUGUAGGAAUAUCGAAAUUCACGGUGUGAAAUUGUGAUUGAAAAUUCUUUAUGAUUGUAAAAGCAAGAUUAAUAUUUUUGAGUUAAGGAAUUUUUAGACUGUUGUGUGUGGUGGUAAUUUUUGUAGAUUUUUAUGUUUCAGGCCGUUGAAUUUGUGAGCCUUCUAUUGGCACUAGGCAAAUGAUAUGUAAAAUCAUAAAAUUUAUUUUUAUGGUACGUUCAAAUACUCGUCGAUCAGUUUUAACGGCAGGCGCAUCGACGAUUCUGAAGAAGUACGCAUGAAAACGACGCUGGAUAGACACGGAAGGCUCGUGCUUCCGAUAGCCAUGUAGCUCUCUUCUCUUCUUCUCUCUCUCAUCUCUUCUUUCUCUAUCUCUCUAUCUCUCUUCUAUAUAAUAAUAUAUAUAUAUAAUAUAUUAUAGUAUAUAUAUAUAUACACGAGCUAGGCUGGUACACUAUCGGUAGCACGGAGGCCUCCGUGCUACCGAGUUGUUUCCAAUGAUGCGGCUUCCAAAUCGACGAUCGGUCCCGUUAGACUUUAUCUACACUAUUGAAAGUAUUUGAAAACUAAAUUUCAUAAUUUUUUGACAUCAUUUGGUUAGUUAUCAAAGUGUCUGAAAAGUGACAAUUUUAAUGAUAGAUUUGAUGUGUUUGUGAAUUUAACGGUGUAAAACAAUCCAAAUUUGAAGAAAUUUUUAUGACUAAAUUACAUAAAAUUUUCCUAUCAAAAUCCGAUUUUUCACUUUCCCCCCUUGUCAUUUAAAAACCUACACUUUGGCCCCUUGUAAAAUAAAAAAUGUUCACAGGAGGGUACGUUGUGUAAAAUGACCAUUUUGCCCCUCACCAUUUUCGUCUCCUCCCUCAUCUUCCUCAACCGCCAUCUCGAUCGGCCGCAAUUCACAUCUCGAUCGGCCGCGAUUUCUCUCCAUUUUCUUUUCCACCUGCUUUCUUUCUUCUCCUGCACCCUCGCCGCCCCUCAAUUUCGAUGACAGUAGGGAGAAAAUCGAGAUGGGCGCUGAUGGAGAGGUAUGCAAGGGCAACGAGGGCGAAGGCGAGGCGGCGGAGGAGAGCGAAGGGGAUGUGGGCGAGGGCGAGGGCGAGGGCUAGGCAGUGGAGGAGGGCGAUGCGACGGCGAAGUGGCGAGCCGGAGGGAGGCGAAGCAACAGGGAAGAGGGCGGAGGGGUAUUUUUGGCAUAAAAAAAUAUUUUGUAACGGAACCUAACGGAUCACUAACGGUAGGGGGUGAAGUGCAUAUUUUUCAUUUUACAAUGGGGUAAAGUGUAGGUUUUUAAAUAACAAAGGGGGAAAGUGAAAAAUCGAAUUUUGACAGGAAAAUUUUCUGUAAUUUAGCCAAUUUUUAUAGAAUUUUUUUUUUCACUAUUUAGUGUAUGAUUAGUAUAUUUGAUUUUAAAUUCAAGUCUUUUAUCAUUAUUUUUUAUAAGAUUUUUAUUUUUAGCCGUUCAUUUUUAGACUAUUCGCUUGAAAUUUAGUUUCUAAAUACUUUUAAUAAUAUAGAUCAAGUCUAACGGAGCCGAUCGUCGAUUUGAAAGCCGCAUCAUUAAAAACAACUUUGUAGCACGGUACUAUCGAUAGUAUACCAACCUAGCUCUAUAUUUAUUAAAUAAUAUUGUAUACAUACUAUUACAUAACUUAUCAAUUUAUCAUAUAAUAUAAUAUUUUAAUAUAUUUAAUUCAUAAAUAUAAGUUAUAAUAAUAAUUAUAUUAUUAUAUAUGAACAAUAUAUAAUAUAUAAUAAAAAACGUAAUUUUUUUUUUCCUUUCACCCAAACAAUCAUAAAAAAAAGGGAAAACCUUAAAAACCCCUCUUGUGGUUUCAAUUUUUUUCACUUUAAUACCCUGUGGUUUAAAAUAUAUCAAGUUAGUACUCUGUGGUUUCUCACUUUAUCACUUUAGUACCCUGUGGUUUAAAGUGUAUCAAGUUAGUACCCUGUGGUUUUGCACUUUAUCACUUAAGUAUCCUGUGGUUUUAAUUUUGUAUCAAGUUAGUAUCUUGUGAUUUUUUAAACUAUAGGGUACUAAAGUGAUAAAGUGUGAAACCACAUUGUACUAAAGUGAUAAAGUGCAAAACCACAUAGUACUAACUUGAUACAUUUUAAACCACAGGGUACUAAAGUGAUAAAGUGAGAAACCACAUGGUACUAACUUGAUACAUUUUAAACCACAUGGUACUAAAAUGAAAAAGUGUGAAAACACAUGGGGUUUUUAAAGAUUUUUCUAAAAAAUAUAUAUAUUUUUUUCGACAGGCCAAGUCAAACACUAAACGAUGUGACCAAAAAUUUUUUUCUACCAAAACUUCUUUUUUCAUAAUUUUACGUGGAACCAAACACACUUAACCAUAUGUAAGAAAUAUUUAAGGGGUAAAUUGGUAAAUUCAAAGCUUGCACAAAUCUAGAUAGUUGACAGUUUCAUCCACGGUGAAUUGCAUCUUGGCUCUUAAACUCUUAAAAAAAAAAAAAAAAAAAAAAAAAAAAAAAAAAAAAAAACUGUCAGCUACUCUGUCCAUCUUUCUGCGAGUCAUCAAGUGUUUGGUGAGUACAGCAGUACUCAGUCUUCGUCCCAGCAUUGAUGAAUGUAUCACACUACAUGGUGGAAUUCUACACCGUCACGCUUGCACCACGUCAUCAAUACCAAGCCAAUCAUAUUCAUUCUUUUCAAAUAAAAGUACAAUAAAAAUAUUUCUUUACAGUCAUUAUGGAACAUAUACUUCUAAAAUGAUACAUUUAAUUGAUUUGUUACGCUACGUCACCAAUAUACCCGUUGCAUUCUAGAAUUUUUCAUAAUUCAUUCUCAGUCUGGUUGUUUUACCAAAAGUAAUUCAAAUUAUAAUAAAUUUUUAGAUUAAUUUCAUACAGAUUCUCGCAAAUAAAGUGAAUUCCAAAUAUAUUCAUGCAAAUUUCAACUUUCAUAAGUUAUUUGUGCAAAAGUCCUAAUUAUAUAUUCAGAUAUAUAUAUAUUCCUGCCGUUAUGAUCCGUCAGAGAACUGUUUAUUUUUUAACAGUAAAUUUGUGAAAUGAUAUUUUUACCCUUACAAAUAUGUCUCUCCAAAAUAAUUUUUACCCUCUUACUCGUUCUCCUCCUUUUCAAGCUGUAGGAGUAGACGACGGCGGUGGCGAUGUCGCGGAGCUUGUCGGAGUUGCGGCUGACGAGGGCAAGACUGAGGCACGCAACUGCGAGGUGGAAGGCUAAGGUGCGACCGAUUUAGAAGCGCUCGUGACGACGGCCCAGACGAGCACGACGAUCGGAACAUCGACGACGACGACGACGAAGAAGAAGAAGAAGAAUAAGAAGAAGAAGAUGAAGGAGGAUGAGGAAAAAAAGAAUACGAAAAAGAAGAAAAAGAAAAAGGAGGCAAUGGAGGCCAGCCAUUGCCCGGCCUCCACCGCACUUUCCUCAGCCGGAGGCGCCGCCGAGGAUGGCGAAGUCAGCACCGAUCUCCCACGAGAAGCACCGCCCGAUCUCCCACGAGGAGCACCGUCAACGUGGCCUUCAUCGGUCGCUUCCUCCGCAACCGCGGCUUCUCCUACUCCCUUGGCGACGAAGAAGAGGUAAGAGGAAGAGGAAGAGAGAGAGAAAGAAGAAAAAGGAUAAAAUUAUCAAUUCACAUUAUUAAGUAAUCAUGAUUAAUUAUUUUAACUGUGAUUAAUUAAAUUUUUUAACCGAUGGUAAUGGCAGGGACAUAUCUAAAUACAUUACGACUUUUGUAAGGAUAACUUAUAAAAGUUGAAUUUUGUAGGGAUAUAUCUGCAAUUCACUAUAUUUGUGAGAAUUUGUAUAAAAUUAACCCUAAAUUGUUUGAAUAAAUUAGAGUUCGAGUAUUUUUUUUUUCUGCUGUUUNGAGGAAAAAAAGAAUACGAAAAAGAAGAAAAAGAAAAAGGAGGCAAUGGAGGCCAGCCAUUGCCCGGCCUCCACCGCACUUUCCUCAGCCGGAGGCGCCGCCGAGGAUGGCGAAGUCAGCACCGAUCUCCCACGAGAAGCACCGCCCGAUCUCCCACGAGGAGCACCGUCAACGUGGCCUUCAUCGGUCGCUUCCUCCGCAACCGCGGCUUCUCCUACUCCCUUGCAAUCGCCCGCCGCAUCUCCUCCCUCGCCGGCGACGAAGAAGAGGUAAGAGGAAGAGGAAGAGAGAGAGAAAGAAGAAAAAGGAUAAAAUUAUCAAUUCACAUUAUUAAGUAAUCAUGAUUAAUUAUUUUAACUGUGAUUAAUUAAAUUUUUUAACCGAUGGUAAUGGCAGGGACAUAUCUAAAUACAUUACGACUUUUGUAAGGAUAACUUAUAAAAGUUGAAUUUUGUAGGGAUAUAUCUGCAAUUCACUAUAUUUGUGAGAAUUUGUAUAAAAUUAACCCUAAAUUGUUUGAAUAAAUUAGAGUUCGAGUAUUUUUUUUUUCUGCUGUUUAUUUCUUUAGUUGAGAAAUUAAAAUUUUUUAUUAGUCAAAAAAAAAAAGUUCAUAAAGCACGUAAAAAAUCAAAAAAGUGAUCGAGAAAAAAAAAUAAUAAAGUGGUUCGGCCACUGACAUACGUCCACGAGUACGAACGAAAUGAAAAUUUUUAUUGUAACCAAUGUACAAAAGAUGCAUCUCUUAAUAAAAUUUUAACCCUAAAAUACAUCCAUACCAUGCUCUAACUCUCUUAUAUCAAAUCAAUAAAAUAGAGAGUAUAUAUAUUUAUAUUAGUUACUAAAAUUUAAUUAGACUAUAAAUAGUCUAAUUAGAAUUAAGUAUAAUCUAACCUAACUUAAUAUGUUGGCCGAAACGGAAUAGGAUCAGAAAAAUUUUAUGAUUCAAAAAUUCGAGACAUAUCUAAUAUUUUUUUCCGUUUUGUUGUGUGUUUGGCAAAAAAAAUAAAUAACAUAGAAACUAAAAUACUUCAUUGUAAAUAUAUUAUUAUUUUUUCUCACUCUUUUCUUUUUUUUCUUUUUUUUUUGUGUAAUUGACUUCUCUGAACUAUUUCUUUUUAUAUAAACUUUACAUUUUAAAUAAAAGUUAUAAUAGGAAUGUCAGUACGAAUGCCUAAAAUUUUAUUCCUAUCGGAAUCCGAACAGAACGGAUUUAUUCGAUACUAAAUAGAUAUGGUUUCGAAUAUGGAUAUAAAAAAUAAAAAUCCGACGGAUAUAGAUUUGGAUAUAGAUUUUGACCCGAUCUGAACCCAAACUCGAACCCUACCCGAACUUGAAUUUAUUUUAUAUUAUAUAUAAUAUGUAUAUAAAAAUUCGAUGUUAUAUUUGAAUUUAUAUUUUAAAAUUUUAAAUUUAAUAUAAUAUAUUUUGAUAUAUUGAAAAGAGAAAUAAUUGUUUUGAGUUCGGAUAUUUGGGUUUGAAUUCGAAUUUGGAUUUUUGGUCAGGUCGACUUUGGAUAUGAAAAUUUGAAAUCUACCGCGUUUAGAUUAGAAUUCGAAUUUCGGGUUUGGAGUCAAGUUCGAGAUUUUAAAAAUUUGUCCCAAAUCCUACAAGAUGACAUCCAUGAGUUAGGGGCAUUUUGUGAAGAAAAAAAAAAAAAAAAAAACCAAACCACUACUGAGUUGAAAGAAAAUUAUAAUAAACUUAAAAAAAUAAUGUAGAUUAAUAUUUUAUUUCGGCUAAUUGCAUACUGGUUUUAUAAAUAUGGUGAAUUGUAAAUAUAUUUUUAUAAAGUUCAAUUUUAAUAAAUUAUUCUUGUAAAAGUUUUAAUAUUUUCAGAUAUGUCCUCCUAAUUUAUUAUCAAAGGACUAUUAGAAAAUUAUUUAUAUUUUCAAUUUUGUCAUUACAAAUAUGUCCCUCCAAAAAUUAUAACUGUAUAUAAUAUAAAAGGGAUAAAAAUGUUAAAAAUUAAUUCGGAUAAAAUAUUUAAUUUAUAGUUAACUAAACUUUUCUAACAGGUUCUAACGGUAGGGACAUAUAUGAAAACAUCAGUACUUUUGCAAGAACAACAUAUAAAAGUUGAACUUUGUAAGGAUAUAUUUGCUAUUUACUAUAUUUAUAGAGACAUGUAUGAAAUUAACCAUAUAUAUUAUCAUUUAUUCUUUAUAUAGACACUAGUGCAGAGACCCGCGCGAUGCAGCGGGUAGAUAAUAGAAGUAAAAUUUAAAAAUUUUAAUAAAUUUUAUAUUUACGAUUUAUUGAUAUAUAGAAAGCUAUAACAUAUUAAGUACAGUUAAUUUGUAUGACUAAAUUUACAUAGUAAGUAGAGGCCCCCGUGCGGACCGACUCAGCGAGCACUUAUAUAGGUCGCGGCUCGGCUUCGCUGGACGAUGCUUCUUGAAGGAGACAAUGUUCUUCAGAGGCUCUUCUUCUUCUUCUUCUUCUUCUUUGUUAACACAAUGAGAGAAAGAGGGAGAUGAGUGCGCAGUAGGAGAUUAGACGAUGAUAUUUUUUUAUGNNNNNNNNNNNNNNNNNNNNNNNNNNNNNNNNNNNNNNNNNNNNNNNNNNNNNNNNNNNNNNNNNNNNNNNNNNNNNNNNNNNNNNNNNNNNNNNNNNNNNNNNNNNNNNNNNNNNNNNNNNNNNNNNNNNNNNNNNNNNNNNNNNNNNNNNNNNNNNNNNNNNNNNNNNNNNNNNNNNNNNNNNNNNNNNNNNNNNNNNNNNNNNNNNNNNNNNNNNNNNNNNNNNNNNNNNNNNNNNNNNNNNNNNNNNNNNNNNNNNNNNNNNNNNNNNNNNNNNNNNNNNNNNNNNNNNNNNNNNNNNNNNNNNNNNNNNNNNNNNNNNNNNNNNNNNNNNNNNNNNNNNNNNNNNNNNNNNNNNNNNNNNNNNNNNNNNNNNNNNNNNNNNNNNNNNNNNNNNNNNNNNNNNNNNNNNNNNNNNNNNNNNNNNNNNNNNNNNNNNNNNNNNNNNNNNNNNNNNNNNNNNNNNNNNNNNNNNNNNNNNNNNNNNNNNNNNNNNNNNNNNNNNNNNNNNNNNNNNNNNNNNNNNNNNNNNNNNNNNNNNNNNNNNNNNNNNNNNNNNNNNNNNNNNNNNNNNNNNNNNNNNNNNNNNNNNNNNNNNNNNNNNNNNNNNNNNNNNNNNNNNNNNNNNNNNNNNNNNNNNNNNNNNNNNNNNNNNNNNNNNNNNNNNNNNNNNNNNNNNNNNNNNNNNNNNNNNNNNNNNNNNNNNNNNNNNNNNNNNNNNNNNNNNNNNNNNNNNNNNNNNNNNNNNNNNNNNNNNNNNNNNNNNNNNNNNNNNNNNNNNNNNNNNNNNNNNNNNNNNNNNNNNNNNNNNNNNNNNNNNNNNNNNNNNNNNNNNNNNNNNNNNNNNNNNNNNNNNNNNNNNNNNNNNNNNNNNNNNNNNNNNNNNNNNNNNNNNNNNNNNNNNNNNNNNNNNNNNNNNNNNNNNNNNNNNNNNNNNNNNNNNNNNNNNNNNNNNNNNNNNNNNNNNNNNNNNNNNNNNNNNNNNNNNNNNNNNNNNNNNNNNNNNNNNNNNNNNNNNNNNNNNNNNNNNNNNNNNNNNNNNNNNNNNNNNNNNNNNNNNNNNNNNNNNNNNNNNNNNNNNNNNNNNNNNNNNNNNNNNNNNNNNNNNNNNNNNNNNNNNNNNNNNNNNNNNNNNNNNNNNNNNNNNNNNNNNNNNNNNNNNNNNNNNNNNNNNNNNNNNNNNNNNNNNNNNNNNNNNNNNNNNNNNNNNNNNNNNNNNNNNNNNNNNNNNNNNNNNNNNNNNNNNNNNNNNNNNNNNNNNNNNNNNNNNNNNNNNNNNNNNNNNNNNNNNNNNNNNNNNNNNNNNNNNNNNNNNNNNNNNNNNNNNNNNNNNNNNNNNNNNNNNNNNNNNNNNNNNNNNNNNNNNNNNNNNNNNNNNNNNNNNNNNNNNNNNNNNNNNNNNNNNNNNNNNNNNNNNNNNNNNNNNNNNNNNNNNNNNNNNNNNNNNNNNNNNNNNNNNNNNNNNNNNNNNNNNNNNNNNNNNNNNNNNNNNNNNNNNNNNNNNNNNNNNNNNNNNNNNNNNNNNNNNNNNNNNNNNNNNNNNNNNNNNNNNNNNNNNNNNNNNNNNNNNNNNNNNNNNNNNNNNNNNNNNNNNNNNNNNNNNNNNNNNNNNNNNNNNNNNNNNNNGACCAUUUAAAUUUUUAAUAUACAUUUUAACGGUCUCAUUAAUCAAACUUUCAAUUAGUGUAUUUAAAUGGUCCAACUACCUUUCCUCUACUAUACUUUUAAUUAAUGUAAAUGGUUCCACUACCAAACUUUCAAUUAAUAUAUUUAAAUGGUCCUACUACUAUCUCCAAUUAUUCAUCAUGGCCCAUUUUCCUCCUUCCAUCGAAUUUUCAAUUCUUUAUCUUCGAUUUGUUCAUCAAUUCUUUAUUUUUUAUCUUUAGCUAUACACCAUCGCCUCCUCUCCUCACUCCCUCUCUCUCAGACUAAUGUGCACCCAAUUCCUUCUUCCACCGCGGUCGGAGAGAUCGUCGUCGCCGUCACUAUCACCAUCGCCGGAGAAGGCAUCGUCGGGUUCAUAUCUGCCGCCUACAGUGAGAUAUUUUCGGUAAAUAUACCAAAUAAGAUACACAAGAGAAUAUUUAAUAUUUUAUUAUUAUUAAUUACUAUUAAGGUUUUUAUCCGCUGCAAAGCGCGGGUCUCUUCACUAGUAUAUAUUGUAGCUCUUCACUAGCUAUGGUCCGACCAAUAGAAAUUUCCGCUGUUGGGUCGGGGCGUGAUCAUCUUCCAUUUGAAAGUUGAAUUUGAAAGUUAAAUGAUUAGGUCCGUCACAUGCUAUAAAAUUGUGUACAGAAAAUUUAAAUGUAAUAAAAUAAAAAAAAAAAAAUUUACAUCAUUAAAGUAUCUAUACUUUUGAAUUAGUUUAAUGUUGCAGUAAUUAAGUGCCUUAAAAAUCACUGUAAUUAGGUUUAAUCAAAUUUUAAUUUUUGAAAGAGAUUUGAUUAAGUUUGUUGAAGUACAGAACAGUAAGCAAAUCGACCAGUGCAAAAGGGUAUAUUUUUGUUUUUGCCCUUCAAAAAAAAUAAAUAAAUAAAAGAUUUGAAAAUUUUUGAAGUAUCCAACACAUAACUAUAUAUCUAAUCAUGCAUUAAAUUAUACUGUGCACGUCCAAACAAAGCUCACUACAGUUCAAAUGAUGAUUGGUAUUAAGUUACCAAUAGUAACUCUCUUAUUAGUCCAUUUACUCCAGUCAAAUUUAUUUAACACAUUAUAAUUAUUAUUAUUACUAUUAUUAUUAUUAUUAUUAUCAAAUAUUUUUAAAUUUGCAAACAAAAUACUGUUGAGUCGUAUAAACAUGGAUGACUUGGUUUUGAGAGAGCGUUGGAUGGGGGAUAAGGGGAGGGAUAACCCCUUAUCACCUUUUUAUAUUCAAACGUAAAUUUUUUAUCCGAAAAUAGUAAUUUUCAAAUACCUGAAAUAAGUUGGUAUAAUUAUUCCCACCAACACUUCUAUUUUUUAUAUAUAACUACCCACUAUUUUUCUUAUUCCAUAUUAUUUAUCCAAACAUUAUUUUUUUUAUCUCCGGAAACAACCCAAUUUUCAUCCAAAUACUAUUUUUCUUAUCCCCAUACUUGUAUCUGUUCCUGUAAUAACUAGUUCUUACUUAUACCCGAACCAAACAAAGCAUUAGGGUUUGUUUGGCUGCGUGUAAUUGACUUGCGAUCGCGACUAACCACCGAAGAAACAUUGUGACACAAGGAACCAAACAGACCCUUAGGACCACCAUAAGCUUGGCUUCUUAUGUAAUUCUUAAUUGCUGACUAAGACAAACGGAUCGUCAGGAGACAACGUAUGAAUUGUGUACAUAAUUAAUUCAUCGAUCGAUCGAUCGCAGUUUGUUUGGUACAAAACUUUGCGUUUAUGACUCAGCAGUAUAUAUCUAUCCUUUUCGUUUCCAUUAUAAAAUUUGUUAACUAGUUUCUUAACUAUUACAGUCAUGUUAAUUUGAUGGCUAGAAUAAGUAAUUCCAUGAUAAUUUAUUCCACGAGAAAAUUUUCUUAGUAAGGUUUUUUUUUUUUUUUACUUUUUGGAAAGGUUAUGACAUCUAUAAUUUCAUAUUUUACUUAGAAGCAAAUUUAUCUUAUUUCGGUAAAAUAAUUUUGAAAGCUAAAUAUAUUAUUCUAUUUUAAACAAUUGACCACACUAUUAGAUUUCAAUCACAAUAAAAAAAGUUUCUUUUUAUACCGACUAAAAUAUUUCCAAACAACUUAUUCCAUCGAUCAUGCAAACAGGACUUGUAAGUGAUAAAUUAUAUGACUAGGACACCAACUAGGAGGAGAAAGUUUAUCGUGUAACACUUAUACUAUAUUAUAAAUAAAUAAUCAAUCAAUCACAUUUUUUUUAUUUAAAAACAAGUUAAUAAAAAUAUAUGAUACUCUAAUAAUCCCGUUAUGGCUAGAUGUGAAAGUAUAUAAAUUUGAUUAGGCUAGACAUAAGAACUGGGCUAAAGCAUUUUGGGAUGGUGGUUUGGACCCAACGAGUUAUUAUUGCUAGCGGAUUAGAUCGUUAUAUUUGGUAUCAGAGCCAGUUCACCAGCCAAAAAUGUAAGAUGAAUUCUGACUGAGCCAAGUUCAAAAUGACUGACUAAGCCUUAAACUGAAAGAGUCUGUCACACCUCAAUAAUCCGCUUAAGCAUUUUGGACUGGUGGGUCGGAAGUGUCACAUCUGGCAAAGAAACAAAUCUCGCAUCCCCUGUCAAAGAAACAAAUCUCACACUGCCUGGUGAUCUUGAACUGUGUUUAGAAUUGACGAGGACGUCAGGAGGAUGUCAGGGCCUAAACGGCCCUAACAGUCCCACAUCGAAUAGUUAACUAUAUGUGAGAGUAUAUAAAUUUGAUUGGACUAAAUAUAAUAGCUGAAUUUAAGUAUUUUAGGCUGGUGUAUACAUUUUUAAACUUUUUCAAACUAAGAGCAGAUCACAUUUUACAACUUUGGCCCCUAAUAAUGACGAAUCUGUGAGUCUACCUAAAGUUAUACUGCUGGUACUGUCGUUCACCUAGAAGUUUCCAACCCAUUCAAAGCUUUACACAACCUUUUUAUAGAAUUUUAAUAUAUAUAUAUAUAUAUAUAUAUAUAUAUAUAUAUAUAUAUAUAUAUAUAUAUAUAUAGAGUUGGNGGGAUAUUAAGGUGUAAUGUCGGUAUCCUUACUUCCUUACACGCUAAUCCAUACUAUUCUCCGAAUCUGUUAUCCUUACUUAUUCACCCGAAUUCAUACAACUUGGCCAUUAUCCUGGGUUGCUCUCUUUUACUAAUUUCCCGAUCUAGAUUGCCAGCUUUUGCAUAUUCAUAUGUCUCCGUAUAUGAGUCUUGGCUCAUGUGGUCGAUCUUUAUAUAUCUGUUUAUAUCCGGCUCGGCCCUAUGAUAGCUAUUGUAAUUCGCGAAUCGCUCUAGUUCGGAGUGUGGCGGUCUUACUUGGAAACCUGAUCACAAUGGACAAUCUAAUCUGAUAAUUUGGUUCUUGAGUCCCGGAAGUUGAUCUCCCUCAGACUGUAGUGGGGUUAUUAGGAUGAAUAUCUUAUCUUUUCUCCUACACUAACACAUAUAUUCUCUGAAUCUGUAACUAUUAUUAUUGACCGAAUUCGUAAAACCCGGGUUGCUUAAUAAUAACGAUCACCCGACUCAGCAAUGUUAUAUAUAUAUCAUCCCGAUGAUAUGAGAAUACUCAUAACCUGGGAAGCAUGAAUAUUCAACAAAAGCUAAUACCUCGAAGGUUUAGCUGCUAGGUGAAGCAAUUUAUACUAGAUUUCAUAAACUUUGAAGAUCUCUUAUUUAAAACAUAAAAAAGCUUUAGUAUUAUUUUAGGUAGUUCGUCCGUAUUUUAUUUGCCUCAGGAUUUUUACCUACUAGCCUGGGAAGUUAAAUUCUGCCCUCCAAUAACUAGAAAUAGAUCUAUCACUUAUUUUAAAAGGUAGUUUUUAAGUUGUAUAAGGUUAAGAAAAUGUCGUAAUUUGAUCGUUCAUAGGGCAUGAUCGGCAAUUUUAAACAGUUAAAACAUUCGAAAACUAGCAUUCUAUUUACUACAGCUUUUUAAUACUUUAAACUAAAGAUUUUCAAAAUUUACGAGAUCUUUUAUAAAUUGCCAUACCUAGCAGCUAAGCCUUCGAGAUAGUAGUUUUUGCUGAAUACUCAUGCUUCCGCUAGCAUGAGAAUUCUCAUAUCAUGGGCUUGAGAUAUAUAUAUAUAUAUAUAUAUAUAUAUAUAUCUCUCUCUCUCUCUCUCUCUCUCUCUCUCUCUCAGGCCGAUGAUAUGAGAAUUUUUUCAUGUUAGCGGGAGCAUGAGUAUUCAUCAAAAGCUACUAUCUCGAAGGAUUAGCUGCUAGGUGUGUCAAUUUGCAAUAGAUCUCGUAAAUUUUGCAGAUCUUUAGUUUAAAAUAUUAAAAAGUUGUAGUAAAUGGAAUGCUAGUUUUCCAGUGUUUUAAUUAUUGAAAAUUGCUGGCCAUACCCAAUGAACAAUCAAAUUGCCACAUUUUCUUAACCUUAUCCAACUUAAAAACUAUCUUUUAAGUUAAGCGAUGGAUCUAUUCUUGUUAUUGAGGCUAGAAUUUAACUCCCUAGGCUAGUAGGUAAAAAUCCUGUAGCAAGUUAAAACUGGCAAGUAAAAUAUGGGCAAACUACCUGAAAUAAUACUAAAGCUUUUUAAUGCUUUAAAUGAAAAAUGUUCAAAGUUUAUGAGAUUUAGUAUAAAUUGCCUCACCUAGCAGCUAAGCCUUCGGGGUAGUAGCUUUUGUUGAAUACUCAUGCUUACCGGGUUAUGACUAUUCUCAUAUUAUCGGGAUGAGAUAUAUGUCUCUCGAUCCGACCAUAUGAUAGCUAUCGUGUCUCUGGAGGCACGAUGGUUCAACAAAAGUUACUACGCCGAAGGUUUAGAUGCUAGCCGAGGCAAUCUGAACUAGAUGUGAUAAUUUUUAUAAACUUUUGGUUUAAAGUAUUAAGAAGCAGUAAUAAACCGAUCACUAGUUUUCCGGAGUUUUAACUAUUAAAAUUACUAGUUACACUACGUAAACCCUUAAAUUGCCACAUUUUAUUAGGUUUAGACUACUUUGGAAAUAUCUUUUAAGAAAAGUUUUGCUUUGUACACACACACUGCGGGGCCCCAGGGAAAAAGUUAAAUUUUAGCUACGCCUUCACGGGUUAAAAAAAAAAAAAAAAACUUUUGGGACUGGUGUCUCCUGCAGUUUAGGCGGUGUUUAUGUCUCUUAGGCAACAAGUGCGCCUGUCUUAGAGAGGACAUAAACAUGCCGCAGCGUCUUCAUGUUUUAUGUUGAUGUGUUAUAAAAGUAUAUGUACGUUAGUGGUGUAGCGUAUAUAGUGAUAGUGUAAGUAAGGUAAGUGUUCUCAUAAUUUAUAAAAGUAUAUUAAUAAAUUACGGUAUUAAUUUUAAUAAAAAUCAGAAAGUAAUUGGAAUAAGAGUGUACCCUCGUUUGAACAAAGUCCAUUUUCCACCUUUUUAUUAAGGUCGGAAUAUGGCUGAAUAAGAUCUUUAGACUCUUGAUGACAAGAGCCUAUAGUUUGCCUCACAAACUUUUGUUUCUCCCUUGUUACUAAAUAAGGGGAGAAACAACGGCGAAUUAUAUAAAUUUAAUAAUAAAUAAAGAAUUUAUUAUUUUAUUAAAUAAAUAAAUAAUAAAUAAUAAUUAAUAAUUAUUAAAUUACAUAAAUAAGUAUUUUAUUAUAAAUAACUAACCAGUUUGUAAUUAUAAAGACAAUUAAGAUUAAUUAAAAAAAAUGAUCAAUAGAUCGAUUUUAUUAAAUGAUUGAUUUAUUUUUCAAUUUAAUAAAAAAUAUUAAUUAAUUAAUUAAUUAUAUAAAAAUAAUAGAAUAUGUUAUAAUUAUCGAUUAUUUAAAUGAUUAAAUAAUUUAAUAAAAAUUCAUUAUAAAACUAUAAUUAAUUAAUCAAUUUUAUUAAAAUUAAAUUUUAAUAUUGAGAAUAAAAGAAACAAGGUUAGAUUGGUAAGUUUAUGAUAAAUAGAAUAAGGAUCUUUGUUGAGUUAAAAGUAGGUUUGUGUUUUGAUCAAAUUAAGGACGAAUAUGGAUAUGAACAUGGAUAAGUAUUUUAUUCGUCAAGAAUGAAUAUGAGCUUGGUUUGUGUCGGGUCUACUUUUAUUUACCUAACUAAGUUUGAUUUGUAAUGUCGCGUUUUCUUGGUUUGGUGUUUUUGAUUUGCUUCACAUUCUAAACCAAGUUAACACUUAUAAACAUCCAUGUAGAUUUUGGUUCGUGUUGGUCAUAUAUCAUAUAUGUAUUUGAUUUCCAAAGUUUUGAUGUUAUAUUAUAACCCCGUUAACGAAUAUAUGAGGAUUUUUCAAAAGCUGAAAAGUUAAAUGGGUAGAAUCUUCCGAUUAUAACUUUUAUGGGAAAGAUGCAAGGUUGGAUAAAGAUUAUAUAAGGAUCUCAAUUUUAAAUAAUUAAUUGAGACAAUAAAUACAUUUUAAUGAUAAAAUGGGAAAGCUUAUAUGGGAAGGUGGUAGUGACUAAAAAAAUAAACGGGAAUUUUAGUACCCGUGUUUUUCAUAAAACUGAAAACUAGAAAAAGUUGUAUGGGGAGAUGGCAGUGGUCGUAAAAAAUAAACGGGAAUUCAAUUCCCGUUUUAACUAUAAAAUUAAAAAAAAUUGACACCAUAUAUAAAUUAAGUGCAAAUUGGCUUCAAUUGAAUUAUCCUCUAUUGACACUUUCAUAAAACGUUAUUGCCAUCUUGUGUAGUUCUCAUAAAAUCUUUCUUUUUUUUUUCUUAUUUAACUUAUAAAAGUUUGCACACUCCUUAUAUGUCUGUUAAUAGAGAUAUUAUAAAAUCGGCACUAUAAAAUUUUUUUUAAACUUAAUCUAUACUAUACGUGACUUUGUAAACUUAUGGGCUAUUAAUUCUAGUUCAUGCUUAUUAGAGAUCAUCCCGACCGUUUAUUCGCUCGGUCAAACGCAAGCUGAGCUAUAAACCGAGCAAGCUCGAGCUGAGCUUUAAUUUACUCGGCUUGAACUUGGUUUUUUUUUUUCCAAACUUUAAGUAAAGUUCGGCUCGACCUCGUAAUGAGCCGAGCAAACUUAAUCCGAGCCUUUCGAGCUUUUCGAGCUUAUAUAUAUAUAUUAUCUUGAUGAUACGAUAACUUUCAUAUCUUCUAGGUUCGAAAGCUAAAAAACUAAGAAUCUAGUUGGGAAAAUUAGUAAAGAAUAGAAACCUAAUUAUGAUAAUAUAAUGGAAUAUUCCUGGUGAGUUAGGAUCCCUAUAAUAAAUUAGGAUUCCCCCUGGCGUUAGUAAGGUUGGUAUGUUAAGAAUUAGUUUUCCAAUUUUUAAGCUUUUGUAGUUUAGGAGAUAUAAAAGCUAUCGUACUAUCAAGAUGUGAAUAUAUAAUUUUUUAUAUAUUUAUAUUAUAUAAAAUUAAUAUAUAUCCGGUUCAUUUAUUAGAGCCAAAUCAAUUUUAACCUGGUUACAACAACCGGGUAUUUUUGUUUAGGUUAUCUGUUUAUUUUCUCGUUUUAAAGUGAUUUAAAUAUGUAAAAAGGAAAGAAAGAAAGAAAGAAAGUGUCUCGAGAUUUAAAAGUUAUACAAAGAGAGAAAAAGAAAAAGACAGAGAGUGGGAUUUAUCGGUUCGGCUUUCGGGAAGUUCAAUGGUUCAUUGUCGUAUACAGGCGGUAACAGAUGGAACGAUAAUUAAUAUACGAACUUUUUUAUAUGUCUUAUAAAAAUUUUAUCUUUUAAUAAUAAGUAUAUUUUAAAAUUAAAAUCAAUAUAUACUAACCUAAUCAAAUUAGGUUAUAAAUAGUUAUAUUAAAUAAAUAAAAACUGGCGUAUUUACUUUUACUUAUUAUACCUCUAACUUUCGCCUUCUCUUCUGAACACUCCGGCUUUUCUAAUCUAUAAGUUGAGUAUUUAAUAAAAAGAAGUAUAAUAUUAUGAUAUAAAGUAUAUUAAUAAAACAUGAAACUUGAUAAUUUGUAUAAAAACAUAGUUUAAUAUCUAUUAUAAGAUGUGUUUAAUUUGAUAACUAACAUAUUACAAUUCUUAAAGUUCGCCGAGCAAAUCCCGAGUUCGAGCGAGCUGAGCUUUAAUCCGAGCGAGCUCGAGCUGAGCUUAAUUAAAGUUAGGUUUGAACUCGAAUUUAAAUCUGAGCUUUAAUUAAAGUUCGGCUUAAACUCGGCUCCAUUCUAGCGAGCUCGAACCGAGCAAAGGUGGGGAUUAGAGAUCCUAGGAAGUUUCGAGACUUAUUGAUUUUUAAAUAAUCACUUAUCAUUCCAGUCAAAAGAGGAUGAUUACGUCAAAUUCCAAUAAUAAGACUAUGUUCGUUGGUUGUCUUCGUGAGGAAAGCUUACUUAGAAUUUUGUCCUGUAUUAUUAGUGUUCCCAGAUGUCACUGAGCGUUGCGUUAAAUAUACUUGUAAUAUAGUCUCUUAACUAAGAUUCGUAGGCGUGUGUUCAGGGUUUACGUGAAGUUUAGAAUAUGCUGCCUCUUCCUAUUUGCUAGGUUUAAAUCGUACUGUCAGGUUGGUUUCUUAAAGGCAAAUCGUUUCUAUUGUAGUUCAGACAAAUAUCUUUUCUUAUGACUUUUCUCUAUUGUAGUUUUGAGUCAAAGGAAUUUUUGGUGAUAGAUCUUCACUUUAUUUUACGUGAAAGGACUGUUUGCUAUAACACAGCUUCACUUUAUAUUGUUUCUGUUUGGAUUAAAGAUUACUUAGUUUGUUUUCUAUAUAAUUUGAAAGAAAAUGAUUUUGUUUCUUCGUGUUUCGUUCAAAAGACUACCUGGUUUGUUUUAUUUGAGAGAAAAUGAGUUUUUUUUUUUUUUUUUUUUUUUUAAGAAAACUUUUGUGAAAUCGUGAUAAAAGGAACGUGGUUUGUCUUGGAUUUCUCGUGUAUUUUGGAUUUCUCGUGUAUUUUGUCUUGUUAGGGGUACUGCUCCGGAACUAUUAGGGUAUGGAAGGUUAUUUUAAUGACCGUUCCAUUUAACGUAGUGAUCGGAGCACUUAAAAAAAAAGCUUUCAAAGUGAAACGGGGGUUGGAAAUGUUUGAAAAUUUUCAUUGAGUAAAAUGGAUACAAGUAGUAGAAAGUAACAACCUCAACUACCGUUACCAUUGCACCCGUGGUUCGUUCAAUUUACGUGUCAAACGGAGGAUUUGUAAAAAAAUUUUAAAACAAAACGGGGAUUUGGAAAUCUAACGUAUCGACGGGGGGAGAUUCAAAAAAGUUUUCAAUUUUCCAUAAAUUUUCAAUUCCACGUUUUAUUUGGAAAAGUUUACCAAGUACUCCGUUUAACACGUUAAUUGAACCGUUAAACCGUGGGGGCAGUCGUUGUGGCAUCUGAGGUUAUUGCCUUCUACUACCUAUCUCCGUUUUAUUUUGCGAAAGUUUUCAAACUUCACAAUCAACAGGUAAAAAUUUCCAACCCGCCGUUUCACUUUUAAACUUUGUCAAGUCACCCGUUAUUACGUUAAAUGUGGGAAAUUGUUGUGGACGAAUAAGUGGGUUGUACAUGUCAAUCUGUCUUAUUUCAAUCUUACAUUGUGUGGUGUUGUAAAAUCUUAUUGUCAAGUUCCUAAGACCAGAAUCAAUGAAGAAUGUAGGGUAACAAUUCCAUUUUCAUUUUGCUUUCAACAACACUAUCUAUGGGUUUGUUUGUGAGGUCUUUGUUAUCGAUAAUUAACUUGGUCUACCUGGUAUACUUAUUAUACUCUUAAAGAUAAAGAAUUAAACGUACGAUUUACUUGACCUCACCAGUAUAAGCUUUCUAUACGUCCUCUCUUUACAUUGAGGUAUCGUAUUGUCAUUAACAACGGCUUAAAAGUAUUGCGAUAAAACCCAUUAUUUACGUUUUAAGUACCAACUUACUCUUGUUCGAAUACGCAUUGGGUUCGGGUGUACGUCUCUAAGUCGAAUCGUCAAUUCUUUGUUGUUGUCCUAUCUUUGUAGUUGAUCGGCAAUCUCUGUACUACGACUAUAAUUGAAGACGUGAAUAAGAUGCUUUUAUAGUUAAUAGAAGGUCUGGAGCAUUUCAUUUUACUUAUCUCCAAGGUCAAAGUUAUUCUUUUAUUUUUUCUAAUUAGUGACAAUUUAGGGGGUUGAUGAUUACGAUCAAUUUCUUGACUCCUUAUUAUACCUGUCUUUGGUGCUUUAGAUAGAAGAUGUAUCCCAUUCGACCUUUUAAUGUCUUUACGACGAAAGGUAACGGGCGGCGGUACGGUGUUAAAAAAGUCAGUAAUGGGUAGUAUCUCAUAUAAUCUUAUACUGAUAUUUUGUAUGAGAUAUUAUAAUCCGGUAGUUUCUUUUGUUUUAUUGUCUUAUCGUAGUAUCUUGAACCUGGUAGUUUAUACGCUGAUGUUUUUAUAGAAUCAUCAUGUUAUACGUUAAAUAUAUUACAAUCUGGUAGUUUCAUAUACUUUGAUGUCUUUAUGUGAACAUCUUUAAUCUGGUAGUUAACUGUAUUUAAUGUCUUUUUGGGAUCACUUUUCCCGUACGUUCCUUUUCAGAUCUUUGAUCUUUAAUACGAACCUUAUUGUUUAGUUUUGAUUCUAAUUUGUAUCCAAAACACAUCUAACAGACAAACGAACCACCGACCUUCUUUAAUAGUUUGUACGUUUGUAGAUGAAAUUAUCACAAUGUAUGUUUUUAUUGUUAUCUGUUACAGAAAGAGAUCGCUACAACGUCUGAUCUCGUCUGGUGUAAGUUCAUUCUCUUUUUGACGUUGAAUCUGGACGAAGGAACUGGGAACUGGGAAUUGUAAUGUUUUUGUUCGCGUGUGUUGAUCUUUUGGAACCGUGAUGUUUGGAAUUUUCCUCUUAGUUAGUCGUUCUCUUCCGUCGAAGUCUUAGUUGAGAUAACUUUUCUGCAUGAACUCUGAAACACAUUCGAAGUCCUUUUUAUCCUGUCCGCUUGAGUUUCGUCAUUUUUUUUAAUUGAGUGUCCAGUUAUGAUCAGUAUUGUGAUCUGUACAAUUUUGAUAUUAUUGUGUUUUGCAUCCUCUUUUGUGUUCAGUUAGAUUUGAAUUACCUUUUCUUUUUAUCUUCGAAAGAUCCUUUCGUUAUGAUAAUACAGUUGUUUGGCUUCGUGUUUGAUUUUCACAGAUGUUUAGUUCGAAUUAAAACAACCAACAAAUUUAGGACCUUUAUUUUGAUGUUUAUCGUAGUGAAUUUUACAAGAUGUAUUGAUGGUUUCAGUUAACUCUCAAAUGUUUAUGUCGUUUGAUUUCUUUUGCUUGGUCGGAAUCGAGUGCGAAGGACUUUUCCGUGUUCAGAUUGGACGUAUCUCUAUGUAGAUAAGCGGGUCACGGUCAUUGGAACUUAGGUUAGAUUCGUGGACUAAAAGAAGAUAGAUCUUCAACCAUCCUCAGCCUUCCAUCAAAAGGAUAGAACUCAUACCCACCAUCGCUGGUCGCGGUGAUGGUGGUGGUAUCGGAGGAGGGGAUCGUGGUGGCAUGUCACGUGGUGGACUCGGUAUUGGCGACGGUGGACUUCGUCUUAGUAUUGAUGGAGGUAUCGAUCUUGGUGGUGGUAUUGGGGGACGGAGCGCGGGCAUAGGUGGAUUCGGACGUGGAUUCGACGGUGGUAUGGGGGGUGGUUUGGGAGGUGGUAUGCUUGGGUCCGCCGAUCUUAUUGGUUCACUCCUAAGGGGUGCUAUUGGUGGAUUCGGUGGUGGUAUUGGUGGUAUUGACGACGGCAUAAGUGAUCGUUCAGGAGGUAUUGGUGGUUUUGACGGUCCGGAUCCUGGGUUUGGAGGACCACUGGAUAUUCUACUGCCGGGCUUCGGCGGUGAAGGUAUUGGUGAUAUCCUCGGCGGCUUUGGUAGUUUUGAGAGCGGUUUUCCCGCCGGUGGGGAUCCAAGUGAUAGUAUUCGUACUCCUCCACCCAAUCUCCCAAAGAAACCAAGCCGGAAGAACUAGAGGUGGAUGUCCGUUUCGUUCUCGCAAUUGGACAUAGAACAGUGAAUCGUUAGGUUUCUUGGAGUUGAUUUAUAGAAUUCUGGACGUCAUUUUAGUUUGAUCUCCAUUUGAUACUGAUUAACGAACGAACCUGAUCCAAGACGAAGAGAAAAUCGACAUCGGUGGAGAUCACUUCACAAACCGUUUAUUAUUACACAUCUCAAGGACGAGACCAUACUUAGUCUUUAUUUUUAGACUCGGGGUUUCGUCUUCUAGGUUUAACCUGGAAAACGAAGUCGAAGUCUAUCUUCAACGAUCUCUACAAAACUAUGUACAAAGUGAGCUGUGAAGAAUUAAGUGUUUGGUGUAUUGUCGUGUUGUAGGAUACCGUCCCGGUUUAUCCGGGAUUCUAAUGACUCUCAAAUCACAAUUUUCUUCAGACCCAUGGUUGGUGUAGUGUUUUACUUGACAUGUUACGAACCUAGAGCUAAAUAUCUACUAAGACAUUUUUGAGUUCAUACUGUUCUACCCAAAGUCUGAGAACUGAUUCAUUACUUAAUCUGAGUGGACACAUGGUCGAUCUAGUUAGUAUAAAGGGAAAAACCGAUUGUUGAGUAGAUGUCAAAAAAGCCUCAGUUUCUGUUAUUUUGGUUUCGGGGCUCUCGCCGACCAACGUACCAGUGCAUAUUAGAGUACUAGGUGGUGGAAAGGUUUGAACCUCUUCUUUAAGAACUUAAGUAGACGGGUCUAAGUAAAGGUAUUUAUCAUUGGUUAGUUCUGGAGCAAACUAUUGAUACCGACGGAUAGAUUACCCCCCUUUUUUUUCGUAUAUUUAUGGAAGACAGUCUCAUCAGCCUUAGGGUGGUUGUUUAUGGAAGAAACAGAACUUUAGAAAAUCGCCUCGUCGUGGAAAGCCAUAUCAGGAAAAUUAAAGUUGGAUGUUAAAAGGGUUCCGUAGUCUGCUCAAUUCAACAAUUUUACAACCUUGUGUUUUCUUUUUGAUUGUUUUUAGGGAUUGACUUUGUUAUAUUAUUCAGUGAAUUUUAAUUCAUGAACUAGAAGAUUUCUCGACUCGGUGGUUGGUUGAACGAUUUCUAUAAUUCUUCUUACAUCUUUAAUAAAGUUAAGUGAGAUUGUGUUAGUUUAUUGGUAAAAGUGGUAGUAACAACAGUAGUUUUGGGAAAGGGUUAUAUCCUAAUCAAUUGUAGUUUGUAAUUUACCAAGGUCUACUUAUGUUUAUAAAGUUUUGACAUUAUGCCUAUAGUUGAGAAGUUUUUAGUUAUAGUUUAGGUUCAGUUUCGUAAAAAACGGUAAAGAGAGGGUAUAGUGAGUUUCAACCUCUCUUAACGGUACUUUCGAACUCAUAAGAUAUCACAGUGGAUUUAUCGAACCGCAUUAGUACCAGUAUCGACAAAGGACACACUUUAACAAUAUAUAUAUAUAUAUAUAUAUAUAUAUAUAUAUAUAUAUAUAUAUAUAUAUAUAUAUAUAUAGAGUCCGGCUACUAUACUAUCGAUAGUACCAAACCCUUAGUACUAUUGAGUUUUCUACCGUUAGAUCUAUCAUUUGAUCAUUUCCAUCCGUUAGAUUAUACUAUUAAACCAACCAUCCACUCAACCCUAGGGAACCACUAUCAAUUUAACCGGAGACCACUAUCAUCCUAACCACAUAUCUUUUCAUCCAACGGUCGAAAACUCAAUAGUACCAAGGGCUUGGUACUAUUGAUAGUAUAGUAGCAUAAUUCUAUAUAUAUAUA
rnacentral:lncRNA from 1 species